UCAGAGUAGGUUGUCCGCCGGCGACUUGCGGUCACCGAGGUAGGAGUAACAGUAAACGCUGUUGUAGUGUUUUUUUUUUUUGUGAGAAGCUGUAAAAAUUUGUUAUUUGCCCUUGGAACUUUUACGGGCCGCUAUGUACUGUACAACACUAAACGGCCCAACCCCAAAUUAGCGACUAGUAAACGGCAACCAACCAGCCUGCACAUCCAACCUCGCCAGCGGCCAGGGCCAGGACAAAAAAUGUUGAGCAAGGCUAAUAACACAGUCGAUGGCUGGUUGUUCUUACAGUCUACUUAUAUAGUGGUUAGCUCUUCAUUAUUAAUAUAUAGUAUACUUGUUUUUCUUCUAAACUUUUUUGGUUCUUGUGUCUAAGUCGGCUGUAAGCUUACAGCCCGCUUUCACUCUCUCUCCUCUUCUCUUUUUUCCCAGCUCACCAUUUAGCUGGCUUACAGCUUAGGUCAUGCGAGCGAAGGAACCAUUAUGGGUGUGUUUGGUUCACUUUUUCGACUUGGCUUGGCUAGCCAACUAAGCCAGGUACUCUAAGCCUGGCUCUCCCAAUGCAAGAGGCAGUUGUUUGGUUCACUUGACUUAGCUAAGCCUGGAUUCCUUUGAUCAUCAGCUUAAAUACAGUCACCUCUUUCUUGUUCUGGUAGCUUUACCUCUCUAAGACAUUACAUCAAACGGUUGGUGGGCACUAAAAUCUUCACCACGCCAUAGAUGAGCUCUACCUCGCUAACGCUGCCAACAAGGAAGAAGAGGGCUCGCCGGCACUGCUGGACCGACGCGGUAACGACAACAUAGCCCAACUCCUCCAUGGCUCGGCACUCCUCCUUGGCCGGCACUGCUGGACCGAAUGCGUCGCGAAGGAGGAGUAGCACGGCGAGGCAGAACCGUGGCGCCCAGCUGUACUGCGCCCCGCCGAGCCUGUAGGCCACGACGGGAGCCGCUCGCCGCCGGGCCCGCCACGAACGCGCGCCAGUGCGUCGCGGAACGCGGCACCAGGUCCUCCAGGUCGAACGGCGGGCCACGAACCCGGAGCUGCCACAGACGCCCGAAGAAGAUGAGCUUCUUGAACAAGCAGGCGCCGACCAUGGCAUCGAGCUUCUCACGGUCGCGCCGGCCAAGGCAUCGAGCAGGGCGCCAGAUCUGGAGGAGGAGAAGCCAAACACACCCUAUGAUAGUGUGGUGCGUGAACAGUGAAGUGUGAACGUGCGACUGGCUUUCCUUAACUUGUCGAAGAGGAAAGGGUAAGCCAACACGACAUUGGCAGAAUAAUGCCGUGCCGGAAACGUGGAAAGAGAUGGACGACGACGAGCGAAAGGUGGUGGGUGGACUGGUGGUGGUGGCGGAGUGCCGGAGCACGACGUGCGGAGGGAGAGCCGGCAACGGGCGGGAGCGGGAGAUUUUUGCUUGGACAGGCCGGACCGACAACGAGUCUUGUCGGUAAGCAGAGCCGCGCCCGUGCGAUGCGAUGCGAUGCGAUUCGGGUGGUUUUCCUGCACCGAUCUGCAUGGUUAGUAUUUGGCGCAAAUUAAGGCCUUGUUUAGUUCUAAAAAAUUUUACAAAAUUUUUCAGAUUCUCCGUCACAUCGAAUCUUUAAACGCAUGCAUGGAGUAUUAAAUAUAGAUGAAAAUAAAAAUUAAUUGCACAAUUUGGUCGAAAUUGACGAGACGAAUCUUUUGAGCCUAGUUAGUCUAUGAUUGGACAAAUUUUGUCAAAUACAAACGAAAGUGCUACAGUAUCAAUUUUGCAAAAUUUUUUGGAACUAAACAAGACCUAAAGAGACAAACCUGACGUGUGACACGGGCACAUGGUGCGUGCGCUAACUGCAUGCCGCGUACGUGGACCGCGCAACAGCAAGGGCAGGCAGCGAAAUGGAGAUGUCGAUCGAUGAUGGUUCCUCUUUUCAGCAUCUGCAAUGCACUGACAAGGGUGGAUUUUGCUCCGAUAUAGAGUUGUAGUAUGUAUAUGGCGUGCGGGUGAUCCCAGUGGGUGUAUGUUCCCCUUGGACACAAAAUGAUUGUCUUCUGUUUGGUCCUCUCAAUUCAUCAUAGACGUACGUAUUGUUGAAUAUAAUGGGCCAUUAGCCCAUAUUUAUAUUUGAUGAUUAAUUCAAGGGCCCAUAAUUAAUGCUAUAAUAAAAAUGGUUUAGUACCAUAUUGAUGAUUGACCAUGUGUUAACUCAACUUAAAUAGGUGGCCUUUGUUAGCCUCUAUGGAGAAGUUGAGGGAGGAUGAAGGGGUGCCACACGCGCGCGCCGCCGCCGCCGAGCCCCCGUCCCGAUCCUCUGCGCGCACAGAGAUCGGGAGAGCAGACCUCCGGAACCCGACGCCACCUGCUCGGGUGUUGCGGGCAAUCAGGUUUUUGGGGAGCGUCUUCCGCGACUGCUCACCGGCGAGAUCGUCUUCUUCCACUCCGGCGGGUCUUCUUCCUGGUGGACGUUCGCGCGGAUCGAGAUCGACUACUUCGUCUUCUUCCUGGUGGACGUUCGCGGGACUGCACUGCGAACAUCUUCCUGCACCGACUGUGGUCCGCUACUUCGAGCAACGCACUAUGUCGACUAGUGCGAAUGGAGCCGCCGGUGCCUUCGGCACUGGUCCCUCCUCUGGGUACAAUCUUAAACGAUUGUUUUUCGUUUUCAGUAUGUCUGCUGUUGUUGCAGUAGUAUUUGCAAUGUUUGUCUCUAAUCUGAGUAGUGAUAAAAUUGCACACGUGCACAUAUAUGCCACCACAAUAUUAUGCGUAAUUUUCUGGAUUAAAUCAAACAGUAAAAUGUCUAAAUUUCUAACAAUCCAAAAACCUGAUAUUAGGCAUUUUUCUGCUAGUGGUUUUGCUGCUGCGUUAAAACCGGAUGCGUUCGAUGGUUCAAACUAUAAGCGGUGGCGCGCGAGAAUGACAUUGUGGUUGACUGCUAUGAGUUGUUAUGACGUCGCGAAGGGGAAGCCUGAACAGUUUACUCCUGAGGAGGAGAAAACGUUCAUGGCUGCUGAUAACCUCUUCAGAGGCGCCGUCAUAAGUGCGCUCGAUAAAAAGUAUGUCGACAUCUAUAUUAUUUGCUCCACUGCUAAAGAAUUAUGGGAUGCGCUUGAGGCCAAGUUCGGGGUUUCUGAUGCUGGUAGCGAGCUGUACCUCAUGGAACAAUUGUUUGAUUACAAGAUGGUGGAUAGCCGUUCUGUGAUUGAACAAGCACAUGAGAUACAGGCACUAGCUAAGGAACUAGAACAAUUUCCUUGUGUGUUGCCUGAAAAGUUUGUGGCCGGCGGUAUAAUCGCUAAGCUGCCACCUUCUUAGAAGGAUUUUGCUACUUCUCUAAAACAUCAGAGGAAAGAGUUUGGUCUUCUGAACUCAUGGGAACUCUUGAUGUUGAGGAGAAGGCGAGAGCAAAAGAUACACAUGGGAAAGGCGUUGAGUCUUCUAGUGCCAAUGUGGUGCAGAAGAAAAAGCAAUUCGCAUUCCGUAAUAAGAAAAAGAACAAGCAAGAGAACAAGCAAGGAGCAAACCCGAAGCAAAAACAAACUGCAACUUUUAAGAAGAAAAAGGCAGAAGGAGGCUGCUUUGUUUGCGGUAGCGAUGACCACUGGGCGAGUGGUUGUCCAGACCGCAAAUUUAAACGAGAAGAGAAAAAGUCAGUAAACAUGGUCAUUAGCGAGGCUGAAGGAGGAACAUCUGGGUAUGGUAAUUAUUUACCUACUUUUUUUUCAGUCUGUCAUUCACCUGAGUGGUGGAUGGAUACUGGGGCUAAUGUUCAUGUGUGUGCUGACAUCUCUUUGUUUUCUUCUUAUCAGGCCGGCAACACUGGAGCCUUACUGAUGGGGAACGGAUCUCAUGCGCGUGUUCUUGGUGUUGGUACGGUCAUUCUGAAGUUCACUUCGGGAAAGACGGUGCUGAUGAAGAACGUGCAGCAUGUCCCCUCCAUCAAAAAGAAUCUAAUUAGCGGCUCACAGCUUUGUAGAGAUGGCUACAAAAUAGUCUUUGAGGCCAAUAAAGUUAUACUUUCAAAGUUUGGAACUUUUAUUGGUAAAGGUUAUGAUUGCGGAGGCUUGUUCCGCUUAUCCAUGCAUGAUGUGUGUAAUAAAAUCGUGAACCAUACUGUGAUUUCGAAUGAGUCGAAUAUUUGGCAUUCGCGAUUUUGUCAUGUUAAUUAUGGUUGUUUAACGCGGCUAGCAAAUAUGAAUUUAAUCCCGAAAUUUAAUUUAGUCAAAGGUUCUAAGUGCCAUGUAUGCGUGCAAUCCAAGCAACCUCGCAAGCCUCACAAGGCUGCGGAGGCGAGGAACUUGGCACCAUUAGAAUUAAUCCAUUCCGAUCUAUGCGAGAUGAAUGGUGAGUUGACUAAAGGUGGUAAACGAUACUUCAUCACUUUUAUAGAUGAUUGUACUAGAUUUUGUCAUGUGUACUUGCUUAAAACAAAGGAUGAAGCAUUACAAUAUUUUAAAACCAAUAAAGCUGAAGUAGAAAAUCAACUUGAGAGGAAAAUUAAACGCUUAAGGUCCGAUCGUGGUGGAGAAUAUUUUUCAAGUGAUUUUUCUGACUUCUGCGUAGAACAUGGAAUUAUUCAUGAGAGGACACCACCAUACUCACCACAGUCCAAUGGGAUUGCCGAAAGAAAGAACCGUACUCUAACUGAGAUGGUUAACGCCAUGUUAGAGACUUCGGGUCUAUCUAAGGAAUGGUGGGGUGAGGCGAUAUUGACAGCGAGUCAUGUCCUGAAUAGAGUUCCUACUAAGAAUAAAGAAAUCACACCAUUUGAGGAAUGGGAAAAGAAAAGAGUAAAUGUCUCUUAUUUGCGUACUUGGGGUUGUUUGGCUAAAGUGAAUGUGCCAAUAAACAAGAAACGCAAACUCGGACCUAAGACAGUUGACUGUAUUUUCCUUGGUUAUGCUACUCACAGCAUAGGGUAUAGGUUCUUAAUCAUAAACUCUGGAGUACCAGAUAUGCAUGUUGGUACUAUAAUGGAAUCUAGAGAUGCAACAUUCUUUGAAAGUGAGUUUCCUAUGAAAAGUACACCUAAUAUUUCUAGUCAUGAGUCUAUAAACUCCCAUGAGCAAUUUAUUCCGAUAGAACAAACUGAGGAACCCCAUGUUCACUAUCCUGAGGAGGAUGAUAAUGUAGUCACUCGAACGAGCAAAAGACAAAGAAAAGUGAAGUCUUUUGGAGAUGACUAUAUUGUGUACCUCGUGGAUGAUACCCCAACAACCAUUAAAGAAGCAUUUUUCUCUCCUGAUGCUGACUUGUGGAAGGAAGCAAUAAGGAAUGAGAUGGAUUCUAUAAUGUCUAAUGAAACUUGGGAAGUGGUUGAACGACCUUAUGGGUGCAAACCUAUAGGGUGCAAAUGGGUGUUUAAGAAAAAGCUUAGGCCUGAUGGUACAAUUGAGAGGUACAAGGCUAGGCUUGUGGCUAAGGGUUAUACCCAAAGAGAAGGGGAAGAUUUCUUUGAUACUUAUUCACCUGUUGCCCGUUUGACCACAAUUCGAGUGUUAUUGUCUUUGGCUGCCUCUCAUGGUCUUCUCAUUCAUCAGAUGGAUGUGAAAACAGCUUUCCUAAAUGGAGAGUUAGAGGAAGAGAUCUAUAUGGAUCAGCCUGAUGGAUUUGUAACAAGUGGUGAAAAGGGCAAGGUGUGUAAGUUAUUAAAAUCCCUUUAUGGCCUAAAACAAGCUCCAAAACAAUGGCAUGAGAAGUUUGACAGAACCUUAACUUCGGCCGGCUUUGCUGUUAAUGAAGCUGACAGAUGUGUGUACUAUCGGUUUGGUGGGGGUGAAGGUGUGAUCCUUUGUCUGUACGUGGAUGACAUACUGAUCUUUGGGACAAGCCUUGUUGUGAUCAAGGAAGUUAAAGACUUUUUGUCUAAUAACUUUGAGAUGAAAGAUUUGGGAGAAGCUGAUGUUAUUCUAAACAUUAAGCUUUCAAGAGAAGGCAAUGGUGGGAUAACACUUGUGCAGUCCCACUAUGUGGAAAAGAUUUUAAGUCGCUUUGGGUACAGUGACUGUCAAUCUGCUCCUACGCCUUAUGAUCCUAGUGUGCUAUUGAGGAAAAACCGAAGAAUAGCAAGGGAUCAACUAAGAUUCUCCCAAAUUAUAGGCUCAUUGAUGUACCUUGCUAGUGCCACGAGGCCUGAUAUCUCGUUUGCAGUGAGCAAACUUAGCCGGUUUGUGUCAAAUCCGGGAGAUAUUCAUUGGCAAGCUCUUGAGAGAGUGAUGCGCUAUUUGAAAGGUACUGUGAGCUAUGGCAUUCACUAUACCGGAUACCCGAAGGUAUUAGAGGAUUAUUGUGAUGCAAACUGGAUAUCUGAUGCUGAUGUGUUAAAGGCCACAAGUGGAUAUGUGUUUCUGCUUGGAGGUGGCGCUGUUUCAUGGAAGUCUUGCAAGCAGACUAUCUUAACGAAGUCAACCAUAGAAGCAGAACUCACAGCAUUAGACACCGCCGGUGCUGAGGCCGAGUGGCUUCGUGAACUCCUGAUGGAUCUACCGGUGGUUGAAAAACCUGUGCCGGCUAUUUCCAUGAACUGUGACAAUCAAACAGUGAUCACUAAAGUCAACAGUUCUAAGGACAACAUGAAGUCUACUAGGCAUGUCAAACGGCGUUUGAAGACUGUCAGAAAGUUGAGAAACUCCGGAGUUAUAGCAUUGGACUAUGUUCAUACGUCCAAGAAUCUGGCAGAUCAAUUUACAAAGGGACUAUCACGUAAUGUGAUAGAUAGUGCAUCGAGUGAGAUGGGUUUGAGACCCACGUGAGGUCUACCAUGGUGGCAACCUGUUCUAUGUGAUCGGAGAUCCCGUGAAGUAGAAUGGUGAAACAAGCCAGAAGUAGAUUGUGAGGAAAGACCCUUUACUUAACUCAUCUCAAUUGCACUUCUUUCCUAAGUCUGUAAGGAAGGCUGGUUAUAUACCUUAAUGUAUUCCAAAGCGGCUUGUGAAGCGAUAGAUGUUGUCCUACAGAACAUCUUUAAGGAAUACACCUAUAUGAGUUUGACUGCUAGUCACAGUCUAUGAGAUUUUGGGUGAUCUCUAGAUACUCAUGAAUGGGCCAGAAGUAUGACUUAUAUGCUUCAACCAGAGGGGAUGUUCAUGCAACCCGGUAUCAGUUAUGAGUAUAGAUGAAACUUAUAUCACACAAAACUUGCAAUUCAAGGCAUAGUCCAUUGUUCAAGUUGUGGCUAAGUGUAGUCUGUACUCUAGGUGGAAGUUCAACUUAACAGUCUCCACUGAAACGACUGGUAUAUGAAACGACAUGGAAACUCGAGAGUUUUUCUUAUGUGCCCUAGAAAUAGGUGGGGAUUGUUGAAUAUAAUGGGCCAUUAGCCCAUAUUUAUAUUUGAUGAUUAAUUCAAAGGCCCAUAAUUAAUGCUAUAAUGAAAAUGGUUUAGUACCAUAUUGAUGAUUGACCAUGUGUUAACUCAACUUAAAUAGGUGGCCUUUGUUAGCCCCUAUGGAGAAGUUGAGGGAGGAUGAAGGGGUGCCACACGCGCGCGCCGCCGCCGCCGCCGAGCCGUGUCUUGUCUUGUCUUGACGAGACGAGACGAGACGAGCGAGCGUGACGUGGCACACGAGGACCAGACCAGACGUGACGUGGCGCAUGCUUGGUGAAUAAGGAAAGGGAGGAAAAACGGGAUCUGACCGUUGUGUAAUUAAUGGCAAUUAAUUGCUAAUUGAUUGACUCGGUUUAUGGCAAUUAAAUGAGAUUAAUGGUCAUCAAUCAGAUAUUUCCUCCUGAGGCCUAUAUAUACCAUACGCACCCACUCCUUCCAUUCCUGCGAGAACACACUCAGUCUUCUCUCUUCCUGUCGAGUUGCACUCUGUCCAUUCCCGUCCCGAACCUCUGCGCGCACAGAGAUCGGGAGAGCAGGCCUCCGGAACCCGACGCCUUGCAUCGAGACACCUGCUCGGGUGUUGCGGGCAAUCAGGUUUUUGGGGAGCGUCUUCCGCGACUGCUCACCGGCGAGAUCGUCUUCUUCCACUCCAGCGGGUCUUCUUCCUGGUGGACGUUCGCGCGGAUCGAGAUCGACUACUUCGUCUUCUUCCUGGUGGACGUUCGCGGGACUGCACUGCGAACAUCUUCCUGCACCGACUGUGGUCCGCUACUUCGAGCAACGCACUAUGUCGACUAGUGCGAAUGGAGCCGCCGGUGCCUUCGGCACUGGUCCCUCCUCUGGGUACAAUCUUAAACGAUUGUUUUUCGUUUUCAGUAUGUCUGCUGUUGUUGCAGUAGUAUUUGCAAUGUUUGUCUCUAAUCUGAGUAGUGAUAAAAUUGCACACGUGCACAUAUAUGCCACCACAAUAUUAUGCGUAAUUUUCUGGAUUAAAUCAAACAGUAAAAUGUCUAAAUUUCUAACACGUAUACUCCACAGCCCACACAGUUGUUCUAUGCAUGUGGCCCUUCAAUCAGUCGCAAUCAUAACCAAAUAAUACUACCAAAAACUGGAUGCGGGCGCUCCCUACCAAACCCACGUCGCUGGACGACGCUGACACCUCGAGGUGUGUUGGAGUAAUCAUUUUCAGCACCAGAGACGGAGAGAGAGAGAGAGAGAGUUGGGCAAACCGCCCCGCUGUUUCUGUUUAGGGCAGGUAGUCAGGUGCAAUGCAACGCUCCGCUCGUGUUGCUGCCCGGCCCGACGUACGUUUGCACCAAUGCAAGAUGAGGAGGCAGAGAUACAGUUUAUUUUGUCUUGGGUCAAACCGAAGCCGCUUCUCCCGUUGUACAAGCUGCUGCGAGAUGUCGCUGGUGGCAUCACCGAUCCAAUGCUUCCACGCUCGUGUUCCUUCGUUUGUUUGCUCUGUUGGUGUGGUCUGGAUGCACAGCACUUUUGCGUUGGAUACUUGGAUCCACCGAAAGGGGAGCCCAGAUCCCAACAGGCGUCCCACUACUCCUUGUCAUGUUGCGCUAAUAUACUGCUGUCCUAGCUAGGCCUUGUUUAGAUGUGAAAAAAAAUUAGAUUUCGUUACUGUAGUACUUUCGUUUGUUUGUGGUAAAUAGUGUCCAAUCAUAGACUAACUAGAGUUAAAAGAUUCGUCUCGCGAUUUACAGUCAAACUGUGUAAUUAGUUUUUGUUUUCGUUUAUAUUUAAUACUUCAUGCAUGUACCGCAAAAUUUGAUAUGAUAGAAAAUUUUAAAUUUUUUUUUGAUUUUCAGGACGAACUAAACAACGCCCUAGUAGCGGUCUCCAAAUGACUCGAUCGGGGGAGACUGCGAGGGAUCAGGACAAAGAUGCGGCGGCCCUGGCUUCACGGAUUCUUCUGUCGAUGGCACGCGCAUGCUGGUUUUCGUUUGGUGAAGGUAACGCACUUUUAUUUAGGCCUGGUUUUUUUUUAAAAAAAAUAAGAUUUUCUAUCACAUCGAAUCUUAUAACAUAUGCAUGGAUCAUUAAAUAUAAAUUAAAAAAACUAAUUAUAUAAUUUACCUGUAAUUUGUGAGACGAAUCUUUUGAGCCUAGUUAGUUCAUGAUUGGACAAUAAUUAUUAAAUAUAAACGAAAAUGAUAUAGUAGCCAAAACCAAAAAGUUUUACCAACUAAACAAGGUCUUAGCUCAAACUUUUAACACUCCACAUGUGACUUUACAUUCUCAAUGGUAAAGAUUUGAAUCCUACGACCACAAAGCCAUGUAUCCUCUUGUUAUCACCCGAUUGACUUUUCAUGACGGCUAAUCUCUAUCUAAACACAAGCAAAAAUAAAGACGCAUAUGAAGUUCUUUACUGAAAUCAGAUUAACCAUUGGAGUUAGGGUGUCACACAAAUGGUGACUCACGGAUGUAAAAUGACAUAUCAAUCUAAGCAAAACCCAACUCUAACUUAGACAAUUGACUACUUAAAUAGAUAUUGUUAGUGUCAGCCAAGAGGACCUAUGGACACGUUCUAAUGGACUUCGACAUGAUACCCAGUCUAAUGGACUAAAAGAUAGAGAUAUAAUACUCAGACAGAUUCUAUGUGCUUAUAACACCCUAAACAUAUUCUACGUGCCCACCUUAGAGAGCUUAUCUUCUUAGCUUUCUGUGUAUACUAAAUAUCAAAAACUCGGUUGGUAUACGACCUAAGCGACAAUUUUAGUAUGGGCUACCACUAAGACGAUGAGCUCGACUUUGAAUAUGGACUGAUUUUUUUAGAAUUGCACAGUACACUGCAGAUGUCUAAACAUGCACCCCUAUGAAGACAUGUACGCUAACUGUAUCCCUAUGACACCUACAAAGGACUGAGCUGACAAAUCUCGAGAUUCACGAAGUCACCUUUAGACAUCUCGCUGUCGAUGAGGGUGACGCCGCCUACCACUAAAAGCAUAGCUUCGAUAAAAUCAUAGAAUAAAUCUAGAAACAUACGAGUGUCCGUGUCAAGUCAAGAAUUCGAACCCAGGUGAGCAAGUUCUACCACAAGAAAUCAAACCUAGUUUGAAUAUGGACUGAUUUAAAACUACAUGUGGAGCCUAUUUUGUAUAAUAGGGGGUAAAAACCUUGUAUGCACUAUGCAGGAAGCAAAGGGUAACCAAUAAGCAGUCGAAAAAAAGGGUAACCAAUCAGCGGAAGCAGCAACGAGCUAUGCGAACCAGAAUCAGGUAGGGUUUGCAAGCCAGGGAAAGACGGAGUGAUGGGCACAAAUUAAAAGCAAGGCCUUGUUUAGAUGCGAAAAGAUUUUGGAUUUCGCUACUGUAGCACUUUUGUUUGUUUGUGGUAAAUAUUGUCCAAUCAUGGACUAACUAGGAUCAAAAGAUUCGUUUCGCGAUUUACAGUUAAACUGUGUAAUUAGUUUUUAUUUUCGUCUAUAUUUAGUGCUUCAUGUAUGUGGCGAAAGAUUCGAUAUGACAGAGAAUCUUAAAAACUUUUUGGUUUUCGGGUGAACUAAACAAGGCCCAAAGUGCUUGCGAGGAUAGUGCUGCCUUUGAAGAUCACGUGGACGCAGGAGCAGCCGACCUCAAUGCCGGCGCCGAGCGGCGUGAUGACCAUCUGGGCAUCUGGUCGCCCUCCCGUCUACUGGAGGUCGGGCUCCGGCCGGCGCCGUGGCGACUGGCUACGGACGCUCUCUCCAACUUCAAAUUAUCUCAGUGCAUCCGUAUUCCGUAGAUGCAAUUUUCAGCAAAAUUGAUUCGCAAAGUUGUUUUUUUAGGAAAAGCACACCCACAGUACACAAAUUUUAUAUCGAUUUUUCUAGAGCGUGAGUUUGAAUCUUACUCCAGCUUUUGCUACAAAUAUAUACUGAUGCAUUAUUUUAAAAAAAUUAAAACCUUUAUUGAAUAUUUUUUUUUUCUUCUUCGAGAACUUGUGCUUUUGCCGAAGAGGUGACAAUUUGCGGUGAAUAACGCCAUUUUCUACUUACCCGGUGAAUGGUGAUAUCUUUGUUGACUUGAAAUUCAUCACUGGAUUUGACACGUCAGGUGUUCAUAAAAAACGUGUAUAUCCCGGGCCACUUUUCAGAGUGUGAACUUUGUGCGACAAAUGGAAAGCAAAAGGUACUCUGCUAGGUGCUAGGCCACUAUACAAACGACCGUGAUAUCAACAUUAUAUAAAUAUAAAUACCAUCUUCACAAAAAAAUGCAAUUUUUAAAUAUAUUCUUGGUUAACGCAUCUAAAAUAUGACUAAAUAUAGAUAAAAAUAAUAAUGUCUAUGACAUCAAAUUUAUAUCUAUAUCUAAUAUUAAAGAGAUAAAAUUUUGUUCUAUCUAUUUUUCCGUCCACCUUCCCCUAACUACUUGUAUUGGACACGGGAGAGUUUCUUCUAUCUUGCUUUUUAGCUGCACUCACGUCCACCAUCUCGAAUGUAAUCCUGUCUCAUGAUCCAUAAUCAUACGAGUUAGGACAACUCGUGUUUAGCAAUAGUUAAUACAAAGUCCAAUUUCAAUACGUAUUGGAUCACACCACACAUAUCUCGAACAUGACCUAGAUUUAUGACCUGCACUCAUACAAGUUAAAACAGCUCACAUCUAACUCAUGGUACAUAGUCUGAUUUCUAUAUGUAUUGGGUUCCAUAAACAUGCAAAUAUAUUUGAACUCUAAAAGCGUACAAACAUAUUUGCUACUAAGUAUAUCUCAUAACAAAUCUAGUAAUAUUUAAUUGAUAUUAUAAAUAUUAAUAUUGUUUAUAUAUAUAUUAGGGAAACUUAAGGUAUUUUUAUUUGAUAUUAUAUGCUAGAAUUUGUUUUUUGUACGGAAUACUCUAAUUUGGAAUUUGCGUAAUUGCGUGCCCACUGCCCAGCACGCUACCCCAUGCGUACGAAGCUUAUAAUAGUUCUGUUUGCUUGAUUGAUAAGUCAUGGUCUGUUGAAUGACUGACAGAUUCAGCAAAUAAGCUUAAGCGAACAAGACUUAUUUGGAUUCUAUCUCUAUAGAUCCAAAAAGGACAUUACGCUGAGCUUCUAAAUUCUUUCCAAUAGAAAUAGAGCCCAGUGCAGUGCGUCGCUUGUUCUCAAUCUAGUAGCGGAACAAAAACACUCUUCGUGUUCGACUUCGAUCUGGUAAUUCACUACGACUUACUGGCUACACCAAGUGUUUUUAGCUUCUCGUAGUGUAAGAUCUAUUAAAUCAUUAUUAUAUAUCUUCUCUGAUUCAGUCCUGAUCGACUUCAGUGCGAAUAAGCCAUGCAUCCUAGAUCUAUUAAUAAUCAUUAUAUACAUCUUCUCUGAUUAUUCCUGAUCGACUUCAGUGCGAAUAAGCCAUGCAUCUCUGAUUUCUAUAUGUAUUGGGUUCCAUAAACUUACAUCUAACUGAUGGUACGCAGUCUGAUUUCUAUAUGUACUACUAAUUCCUAUUUACUUUUGUUGGAGGAGCAGUACGAGUGCAGCAGCUGAUUGCGCCAUGGAAGGUCACCAUACAGCAACGCUUGCGGACACGUGGUUGACGGCGACGAUGGCGAUCGCCGUUCUCCCUAUCGUCUCGGUCCUGAUCCUGACCGCCACCAAGAUCGGAAGAACCAUCGUCGGCGUCGCCCCUCCCAAGCGCAAAGGGCCGCCGGUGGCGGAGGGCGCUCCUCUCCUCGGAGUGCUGCCCGCCAUCCUCACCAGGAGCUUGCAAGACGUGAUCUGCGACCAACACUCGAAGCUCGGCAGCGUGUUCACGCUGAGCUCCUUGGGAGUGAAGGUGACGUUCCUGGUGGGGCCCGAGGUCUCCGCCCAUUUCUUCCACGCCGCCGAGUCGGACAUCAGCGUCGGCGACGUCUACAAGGUCACCGUCCCCAUCUUCGGCAAAGGGGUCGGCUACGACGUCGACCACGACACGCGGAACGAGCAGCACAGGUUCUUCGCCGACACUCUGAGGCCGGCCAAGCUCAGGAGUCAUGCCAGUCUCAUGGUUCGCGAGGUGGAGGAGUACUUCGCCAGGUGGGGGCAGUCCGGCACGGUCGACCUGAAGCAAGAGGUCGAGAACGUGCUCCUGCUGAUCGCGAGCCGGUGCCUGCUGGGGAAGGAGGUCCGGGAUCACAUGCACGACGAGGUGUCCUCGCUCCUCCGCGAGCUCAUCGGCGGCCUGCACCUGGUAAGCCUCUUCUUCCCGUACCUCCCGACGCCGGCUCACCGCCGCCGCGACCGAGCGCGCGCCAGGCUCGAGGAGAUAUUCUCCGGGAUCGCCAGGCUGCGCAGGAGCUCAUCAUCGGCCGGCCGCGGCGCCGGGGACGACGACCACGACAUGCUGCAGGGCCUGCUGGACUCCAGGUACAGAGACGGCCGCGGAACGACCGAGGCGGAGGUCACCGGCCUGCUCGUGGCGCUGCUCUUCGCCGGCCACCACACCAGCGCCACGGUCACCACCUGGACGGCGGCGCGCCUGCUCCGCCACGCAGAGUGGCUGCACGCGGCCACGGAGGAGCAGAGGCGGCUGCUGCAGAGGAACGAUCAGAACGAAGCUACAGCGGUCAUCGACUACGACGUCCUGCUCCGGAUGGACGUCCUCCACCGCUGCGUCAAGGAGGCGCUGCGGCUCCACCCGGUGACCCCAAUGAUCCUCCGCCGCGCGCGCAGGCCGUUCACCGUGCGCGCUCAGGACGGCGCCGAGUACGAGGUCCCCGAGGGGCGCAUGCUGGCGAGCCCGCUGGUGGUGAACAAUCUGCUCCAGGGCAUCUACAGGGAACCUGAUGUGUUCGACCCGGAUCGCUUCGCCGCCGGGAGGGAGGAGGACAGGGUCGGCGGCGACCUCGCCUACACCUCCUUUGGCGCCGGGAAGCAUGCCUGCAUGGGCGAGGGCUACGCCUACCUGCAGAUCAAAGUGAUACUGAGCCAUCUUCUCAGGAACUUCGAGCUCCAGCUGGUUUCUCCCUUCCCGGAGACGGAGAACAUGAUCUCCAUGAGGCCCAAAGGGGAAGUCAUGGUAAGCUAUAGGAGACGCCCUCUGCUGCAGCCUGCAGUAGUGCACUAGCUUGACAAGUGAAUAAGCAAUGCAGUAAACUGAAUUUUAUUUGUUGAGCCACAAAUUAAUCAGGGAAUUGCAUUGUAUUAGUGUGGCUGGAUGCCUGGAAGUCUUUACGUACACAGAUCCACUGCAAACUUCUUGCAGUUCGUUACAAAACACAGGCACGAAAGAAAUCGGAGGCAUUUGCAAUUCGCACGAAUUGUGUGGUCGCCGCUUCAGCACUCGGGCAAAUCCUUGGGCGGCGGCAAAACCGACUCAUCAGGGCCAUUGCCGUCCUCCACCAGGAAUGCGAUCUUGAGGCCCUAGCUCGUGUCAGUCGUGUGCACCUCCAGAUGACAGUGCAGGAACCAAACACCUGGAUUGUCUGCCCUGAACCGGAUGGCGGUCCAGCCGCCGGCGGGCACGCCGACGGUGUUCCUCUCGGGCGGGUCGACGAGGUUGUACUUGGCGGGGUCCUUGGCCGGGUCGAAGUUGCCGAGGCCCCUCCCGACGACGAAGAAGUUGUAACCGUGGAGGUGGAACGGGUGCGACUCCACGGACAGCAGGUUGUACGCGACCUUGCUCAGCCUCGUGCCCAGCGACGUGGCGAGCCCCGUCGUGAGCGGCACGCCCGUGUAGUUGAACCGCGCCGGCGGGCGCGCGGUCGGGGAAGUCGGCGGCGAAGACGCCUUUCAGCCCGCCGUAGUGCGCCUGCAGCAGCGCCACCGCGGGCAUCACGAACGUGAUGUUGUUGAGCGACGCCGCGAGGCGGGAGCCGUUCAGGCACGACCGUGCACGGCACGGGUCGAUGUUGAGCCCGAUGGUGUACAGCAGGUGCCGGUCCACGGCGCGCGGCGGGGAGGACGGAGGUCGGGACGCCGGCGUACUGGAGGAUGGCGGUGGCCGUGUCUUGUCGUCCGCGGGGACGGGCACGUGGUUGAAGGGCUUGGCGGCCAUGAAGUACCGGCCGGGCUUCUGGUCCGCCCGGACGAGCACGUUGGUGGUCUGACCCGGCGAGAGCUGGAUGGUCGACGCCGCCAAGGGCUUGGUGUACGUGGCGUCGAUCUCCACCACCGUCAUGGUGUGCCCGGCGAUGGAGAAGAAGAGCUCGUCGUUCACUGCAGCGUUGACGACCCGGAGGAGGUACGUCUUCCCCCACUGCACCUGCAGUGCGUACGUAUCUGAUCGAAGCAAGACAUGACAGUACAUACGGUUAGUAACACCAAUACAUUGCCUCGUAUCAUUAGCAAUGCAAAAGUACCAACAAGAAACCAUGAGUCCACGCACGUUUCUCGGAGCACGGGAAGAGCGGGCCGGGUUUGCCGUUGAUGGUGUGCGCGUCAGACGUGUUGGGCGCCAUGCCAGGCAUGCGGCCCUGCUUCUCGAUGGCCUCCACGUCGGCGUGCCACCACUCGCCUGCAUGCGACGCCACCAACCAAUCAGUACGAUCGAGUGUGUUCGUCACAUGGAAGCUGGACAGUGGGGUGCACCGGCCGGCCGAUCAAUCGUUCGGUCUCGCGUGCCCACGUACGUACCCAGGAUGAUCUCGGCCUCGGCGUCGGGCUUGGGGAACGGGUAGGGGACGCCGCGCUCGGGGAGGACGACGACGGCGCCGUGGACGGUGGCGCGCAGCCAGGCGAUGUGCGCGUGCCACCACAGCGUCCCGCGCUGCUCCGUGACGUACGUUCGCCGGCCCGUCCGCCCACCCGUUCCGGCGCUGCUUCAGCCCGUGGCAGUGGAUCGUCACGUUGUGUGCUCCACGCGGUUGGUGACGCGCGCGCACGACGACGCGGUCCCCUUCGCGGGCGUAGAUGGUCGGCCCAGGGUAGCCGACGUUCACGGUCACCAUGGAUUUCGCAUGGCACAGCCGGCUCACGUUGCUCAUCACGAUCUGCGUGCGUGCGUACAGAGCGGGGAACUGUAUCCACAACCACAAACCGCGAAGAACACAGGAACAAUGACAAUCAUCGAUAGCAUAUAUGUAUGUAUAUACUCACGUCGAAUUGGUAUCUCUUGACGUCGGCCUGAGCGGAGAGAGUGAGGACUGCAAGGAGGAGAGCCGAGAGUACCAGGGGAAGUCCGUGCCGAGAGGAGGCCAUCGCCAUUGCAGCUGCAGAGGGCGAUGAGCAGCAUGACAGUGCUCUGUGAGACUGUGACCGUGCGCGUUGCGCCUCCUUAUAUGUUGACCACUACAACAAAUGUGACUAUACAUGACGAAUUUUGGUGACGUUCUAAAAAAUCAUCAUGGAAGUCCCUAAUCUAUGACGGAUUAUAUGUUACUAUUACGUGAGAAAAAAUAGAAUAAGAAAACUGAGCGUCGGCUCCUUCCUAUCCUGUCGACGAAAGCUAGUCGGCAGUCUACCUUGGGGUAUACCCACGGUAGUAGUUUGUCGGUAGACGGUGCGCAAACUACGAACUCGAUGGUGACGCAAGACACGGACAAGCUUUUUAUCCAGGUUCGGCCGCCGAGUUGGCGUAAUACCUACGUCCUGCGUCUGGUUGUAUUGAUUUGUGUUGAGAGAAUCUGAUCUGUCCUAGGGGGGUCCCUUGCCCCUCCUUAUAUAGUCUGGAGGGCAGGGUUACAGAUCUGGAAACUAAUCCUAGUCGGUUACAAUUGCCAUGGAUAAUUCGAUAUCAAUUCCUAUUCUAACCGACCAGAAAUCCUGCUUGAUCUCCACAUCUUGUUUCCUUGCGCGGAACUCCAGGUUGUCGGAUCAAGCUUUGAACUCGUCUCGUAAUGGGCCAAGCCUCCUGGCCCAAGUCCAGUCGUAAGGGUAUAGGGGUUUAUACCCCCACAGCUAGUCCCCGAGCACCAUAUAUUAUGAUGUAACGCCGUCUUGAGCUUCUUCGAUCAGUGAGGCUUGACGUCUUCAGGAAAGUUGCCCGAACAGUUGCAACGGUAUUUUGACCAACUCAAAAGACAGUUGAUCAACAUUGACAUCGAAGAAGCAGGUUGUUCGAAGAAUGCAUGGUGCUCUAAAUUAAAAAAGAUUUCUUUCCUGGUGAAGUGUGCCCACUUUACUUUUUUUUUGAAAGGUAUAAACAUCAAAAAAGCAAGCAAAUUCACCGCAAGGUGAAGUGUGCCCACUUAGUCCCCGAGCCUGGUAGUAGGUGACGCAGGCACGUGGUGCCAGGGUCAAAACAAAAGUCCUCAAAGAAAUUCUGUAACUGAGAUGCAUCGCCAGAUGCAUCGUACCGAUGUAGUCCCCGAGCUUGCUGGAAGGCGAAGUAUGAGCCUUGUAGCAAGGUCUAAAAAGUUGAAUUUACCAGUCUGACUGCAAUUGAAUAGAUCAAUCGACCAGUCACCAAGCACCAAGUGCUUUUUAGAAUUCUGUGUUGCUGUACUGUACGACCAGUCCCCGAGCAUCGAGUGCUCGGUGGUCGGUGCAGUUCUUUAUAGCUUUUGGCUGAUAGACUGGGCGACCAGUCCCCGAGCGUCGAGUGCUCGGUGGUCGGUGCAGUCCUUUAUAGCUUCUGGCUGAUAGACUGGGCGACCAGUCCCCGAACGUCGAGUGCUCGGUGGUCGGUGCAGUCCUUUAUAGCUUCUGGCUGAUAGACUGGGCGACCAGUCCCCGAACGUCGAGUGCUCGGUGGUCGGCGCAGUCCUUGAAAGCUUCCGGGCUGAUAGACUGGGCGACCAGUCCCCGAGCGUCGAAUGCCCGGUGGUCGGUGCAGUCCCCGGAAGCUUCCGGGCUGAUAGACUGGGCGACCAGUCCCCGAGCGUCGAAUGCCCGGUGGUCGGUGCAGUCCCCGGAUUGUUGACUCUCUGGCGUAUGUGUCUUCUUGUUUUUUUUUUUGAAAAAAUCUUUCCGGUUAAAGUUGACGUGACGAGGCCUCCUGACGGGGUGUCAGACGGAUGCAUGAAAAGUUGCGCCUGGCAACUGUGCGGCCGCCCUUUGCAUGGUUUGAGAAAAGGAAACCAUCAAUUGGUACGAAAAAUCCGCCGCAUUAAUUGUCUAUAAUCAUUGUAAACCGAAACGCCGCAUCCGCCGCAUGGCCCGCCCACUUCUCGAGAAUACGGGAAGUGGGAGAGGUGGAGUUGCGGGCUAUAAGAGCCUGAUAGUUCCGCCUGUACUGCUUACCCUGCCAUUGCCUUCAAACCUUCCGCUCUCAUCUCCCUCAAUCGCCUGCAUCUUCCUAACUCAAGCCCACACUCGCACCUCUAAUGGCGAAGAGCGACUCCAGGAAGAGGGCCGAACUGAUGGCCAAGGAGUGGAAGAAGUCUCGCAGCACCACGAAAUCUCUUGGUGACCUCGUCGAUAUGGGGCUUCUGCACGGCCCGGAGCUCGGCGGCUGGAGGGCACCGGAGGGGGAGAGCUACCCCGACCCUCGCGCCGGUGAGAUCGUCGUAUUUGAAGAUUUCAUUAAGAGAGGCUUUGGUGUUCCUCUUCAUCCUUUUCUUCAAGGUCUUCUUUUGUACUAUGAGAUCGGGAUUUGCAAUCUGCACCCGAACUCAAUUCUCCUCAUUUCCACUUUCAUCCACCUGUGCGAAGCCUAUGUUGGCAUAGAGCCGCACUUCGAUCUUUUUCGGUAUCUUUUCUGCUUGAGGAAGAAGGGAGCAGUUGGAGGCUCCAAGGUUGCAGGUGGAGUAUACCUCAACCUUCGUGAUGGAAUGAAGAAUCGCUACCUGCACUGUCCAUGGAACACUUCCUUGACCGAAUGGUACAGGAAGUGGUUCUACAUGAGGGAGGAACCGGGCAGCUCCACAUUCUGCGACGUGGGAUACAUUCCUGAGAAGAGGAUGAGCUGGACCGACCGCCCGGAGUUCGACGGUCCAGUGGCGGAUCUCAUGAAACUGAUCGACUGGUCGCGCCUGGACGGGCUUGGCGUGGUCGGCAACUUCAUUUGUCGUCGGGUGAUGCCCUGCCAGAAGAGGGUGCACUCGGCGUACGAGUAUGCCGGAAGCGUGGACCCGACCAGGAUGCGGCCAGAGAUCUUGGAGAAAGCGGAGGUACAACAGCUGUUGAACGAGCUGUUUAACUUCGCGGACGGAGGCUUCAUCCGUGGCAGUGAUCGGGUGCAAGCCUUCAAGUUAGGACGACCAGCACCAAAGGUAUGUAGCAGAUUAUUUUGUUUUAGCAUUCGUAUAUCGUCGGCAGCUGACUCAUCUCUGUUGCUUUUGCAGAUCGGCGAUGUCGACCGGUGCACAGUGUAUGUAUCACUGGCACCGGGGAUGGAAAAUCCUGCGGGAGAAGACCCGCCAGAGGAGGACGCUGCUCGGUGUACUCAUUACACCAGCAGUGAAGAGGACCAAGCCCGCCCCGUCCCGACCUCCGAGGAGAGGGUAGCGGGGAAGAGGCCAUUGCCGGCAGAUCCUUUGCCGACACCGGAGCUGCCGGCAGAUCUACCGGCGGAGAGCAGCCAAGCACCGAAGCGUCGUCGGCUCGUGCGGAUCGUUGACGACGACGACGACGAGGAGGAGGCUGCGCCGUCGUUGGUCCGACGGCCCCGGGGCCGCCCAGAUAAUGCGCCGGCCGCUACUGAUCGAGUGGCCAGCGACGCCCCUGCACCGCAAGUUGUCGAGAUGGGGGCGCAGGUGCCGACCGGCCGGGCGAGGAGGAGGUUCACCACCACCCACCGCCGAUCAGACCUGUAAGUGUUCGACUUACGUAUUUUGGACUCCUCUUUGAUUUUUUAUUUUUAUUUUUUUUUGAAAUUACACUUUUGUUCCUGUAGUGCGGCGUCGGAUGUCGACCCCGGCCAGGCUGCCAGCCAGGGGACGGGCGAGCCAGUCCACGCUGCUGAGGAUACGGCCCCCCAGACCACAGAGCAGCCAACAGCUGCAGUUGCGCCUGGGAGCACCGAGGGGCUCCCGACCGCGGCACCGACUACGACAGGCAGCCCGACCAGGGCUGGAGAGGCUCCCCCAACUUGCUCCCCAGAGGAGGGAAGAUCUCCGACCGCUCCUCCUGCCGGGGGGAGUGAAGUCCCCACGCCGCCCCGAGCAGGAGCCUCUUCGGCUGCGGGCUCCCCAGGUCUGGUCCGAGGACCAGUAAUACCUGGGACCACCACCGAGGGUGACGCAGCACAGGAGGAGGAAACCCGGGCGGCCUCUGAUGAUGAGGUGGAAGAGAUUGAGGGUCGUCCCCGUGAUGGCCGCCAACACGUGUAUGUGUGGCGCCAACGCGGGGAUCACUUUAUCGGUCAUGAGGAGCUCGCCGAGACCGAAGAGGUUGCCAGGGUGGAGCGCGCGGCCAAAUGCCUCGUCGACGAAGUCAAGGUAAGCGACUUUUUGUACUGCUGUACAUUCUAUGCCUUGUCUUGCAUGGUCGUUAUAUGCUCGCUUUGUAGGGCGCAAUGAAAACGGCAAAGUACCGGAAACAGUGCUUUGACCAGAUAGAAGGCGUCAUGGCCGAGAACAAGGCCCUUGCCGCGGAGGUAGACCGGCUGCGUUCGGAGGUCGGGGAGAAGGUGGCCGAGAUGAGUGUCCAGGAGGAGCGUCGUCUCGACCUCACUCGUCGCUUGGCCGACCAGUACCGGCAGCGAGAAGGUUAGUCACACGCUCCGAGCAGCUUUGCGUACUUGUGUAGUUUGCUUUACUGACCAGUUUAUGGUUCACACAGACUUGGAGGAGGAGGUGGCGCGCCUCCGACAAGAGAAGGAGCAGCUCAGCCAACAGCUCGCCGGUGCGCUGGAGUCCGGGCGGCGAGCAGGAGAGGAAUUGGGACGAAAGGACCGAGAAUUAUCUGGUAAUGGGUGCCGCCUUGUUAACUGCUACUUGUCGCCCCUUUGUUUGUUUAGUAUGCUGAAAAUAAUGCCUUGUUUCGUUUGCAGUGCUCAAGGAGAACGCCAAGAAGCACCUGGAUGAUCUGAUCAAGGACCGGGACUCCUGGAAGGUCAACUGUUGCAGGAUCUGGAAAGGAGUGUCCCCGGUCCUAGACCUGAUCAGUCCCGAGCUCCCGGAGAGCCAGCCCCGCGCGCCGCAGUUGACCCCGGUCGAGAAGGCGCAACGGGCGUGGGACUGGCUCCAGCAGUUUGUGAAGGACGCUGGGGAGUUUGCCGGCGCGCACGUCCUCAGCAUGGUGCGCGCCCACUACCCCCUGGUCGACUUGAGCAGGCUGGAAAAGGGGUACCCGAAGGAAGUCGGCCCUCAGGAAGCGGACGAACUUCGGGGUAGUCUGCUGGACUUGUCGUCGACGGUGAUCGGCGACAUCAAUCUGUGCGGAACGGCCACUCCUCCAGACCAGCCGAGUUCAGAUAGGUCGGCCAGGGAGUUGUCGGGCGCGUCCGUUGCGGGAGAUGGGCGGUCGACGCCUGCGGUCUCGACCAGCCAGGCGCCGGUGGCCCCGACCCCUUCGUCCGGGCAGCAGGGCCAGGCGGGUGAUCAGCCCGAGCAGCUAGGCCAAUAAAGUAGUCUGUAGGAAUAGACUAGUGUCUGCCCGUCAGGGUAUUUAUUGUAAACUUUGUGUGUAAAGUUUGUCAUAAAGUUUGCUUUUUUGUCAUGACUGUUGUUUUGAGCGCUGUAAGAAUAUCUGAGUGACGUGUCACCGUAUUCGUCUCGGUAGUCGCUAGGAGCAUCCAUUGCAGGAGUUUUGCCGAGUGCUGUGUGCGACAAGGUAUAGGCAAAAAAAAAUAGAGAAUUUCAUUAUCAAAAAUUAUAAGAUACUUACAAAGGAAAAUUAUCAAAACUUUAUGGAUAGAAACGUCGCAGUUUGUCGAUGUGCCAAGAGUUAGGCACUCGUGUUCCGUCUGGGUAUGCCAAUCUGUAGGAUGUGGGUCGUGUGACCUCGGUCACCACGAAAGGUCCUUCCCAGGGAGUGGAUAGCUUGUGCAUUCCCUCCUGGCUUGUUUUCCAUCGAAGUACCAGAUCGCCGACCACAAAGGAACGGUCUUUGACGUUCCUGUUGUAGUAUCGCCUGACUGCCGUGAGAUAUUUUGCUGUUCGGAGACAAGAAUCUAAACGCUUUUCCUCCAUGCAAUUGAUUUCGAGUUCUCUGGCGUUGUCGGCGGUCGCCUGGUCGAAGUGUUCGAUUCUAGGAGAUCCGAAGUGUAUGUCGGACGGCAGGACCGCCUCUGCACCGUACACCAUGAAGUAGGGAGACACCCCUGUGUUUCGACUGGUCUGAGUUCGGAGGCCCCAGAGCACUGCCGGCAAUUCUUUCAUCCAUCGACCGGGUGCUCUGUCGUUUUCGGUGUACAACCUUUUCUUUAGGGCGUCAACGAUCAUUCCGUUAGCGCGUUCAACUUGACCGUUGGCACGUGGAUGUGCCACUGACACGUAUUUUAUGACUAUACCUCUGUCAUCGCAGAAGUCCCAAAAAGUGGUGCCAGUAAACUGAGUGCCCAGAUCGGUGAUUAUGCUGUUCGGGAUGCCGAAUCUGUGUAUGAUUUGAUUGAGGAACUCCACAGCCUUCUCGGAGGUUGCCUUGACCAUGGGCAUGUAUUCAAUCCACUUGGAGAACUUGUCGAUUAACACGAAGACAAACUUGAAAUUGCCCGGGGCUGGUUUAAAUGGUCCGAUCAUGUCAAGCCCCCAGCAAGCAAAGGGCCAAGACGACGGGAUGGUUUGAAUUUCAUGGGCAGGUACGUGGGUCCUCUUAGCGAAAAACUGACAUCCUUCGCAAUGUCGAACCAGUUUUUCUGCGUCGCCGACCGCGGUUGGCCAAUAAAAACCUGCUCGGAAAGCCUUUCCGACCAACGUUCUAGAUGCGGCGUGAUUGCCGCAGGAUCCAGCAUGUAUGUCCUCUAAGAGCUUGAUACCAUCAUCUUGGGGUAUGCACUUGAGCAGUACUUCGGAGCUUGCGUUUUUCCGCAUGAGUUUUCCGUCGACCAGGAUAUAGUUCUUUGAUCGUCGGAUGAGGCGCUCGUUCUCUGUUUUGUCCUGAAAACCUGUCCCGUCUGAUAUGUAUUUGAUGAACGGGGUACGCCAGUCACGCCCACCGGUUGUCGGAGUGGCGUCGUCUAUGAGCAUUGCCUCGGUGGGUUGCUUGUCGACCAGGGAGGAGCCUACGCUCGGCUCAUGGAUGUCCUGGACGAAAAUACCCCGCGGGAUUUGGGCCCGAGAUGAGCCUAACUUUGACAACGCAUCUGCUGCUUGGUUCUUAUCCCGGACCACGUGGAUGUAUUCUAUGCCAUAGAAGUUGGUUUCCCAUUUGCGAAUUUAUUUGCAGUAGAGAUCCAUCUUCUCGUGGGUUGCGUCCCACUCCUUGUUGAGCUGGUUGAUGACCAAAGCGGAGUCGCCAUAGACAUAGAGGCGCUUGACCCCCAGUUCAACGGCUAGUCUUAUGCCAUGCAAGCAUGCUUCGUAUUCGGCGACGUUGUUUGACGCCGGAAAAAGGAUCCGAAGGACGUAACGCAGCUUGUCCUUGUUGGGUGAUACGAACAGUAUCCCAGCGCCGGCACCGUUGAUGUUCAAGGACCCAUCAAAGAACAUUGACCAGUGGUCUGAGACAUCGGGAACGGGAGGCUCAUUGAGAUCCGUCCAUUCAGCAAUGAAAUCGACCAGGGCCUGAGACUUGACCGUAGUUCGGCUCUGGAACUCCAGCGAAAAUGGGCACAAUUCCAUCGCCCAUUUCAUGAUUCUGCCAUUGGCGUCUUUAUUGCGUAGGAUGUCCCCGAGAGGGAAACUAGUUGUCGCCAGGACUCGAUGGCCGUCGAAGUAGUGCUUCAGCUUUCUUGAUGUUAUCAGAAUGGCGUAUAUGAGCUUCUGUAUUUGUGGAUACCUGGCCUUGGACUCGUUUAGGACUUCACUUAUGAAGUAAACGGGUCUCUGGACCUUGUAGGCGUGACCUGGUUCAUCUCGCUCGACCACUAUUGCCGUGGAAACAACCCUGUCGGUUGCAGCAAUGUAAAGAAGUAGGUCUUCAUUGGGUUGGGGCGCUGUGAGGACAGGUGGUGAAGUGAGGAAGGUCUUAAGCUGAGUGAACGCAGCGUCGGCUUCCUCCCAGCCUUGAGAUGAAACGCUCGACCAAGAAAAUUUUUCUGACGCUUUCAAUAGUUUGAAGAAAGGGAGGCCUUUUUCUCCCAGCCUUGAGAUGAAACGACUGAGGGCGGCCAUGCAUCCGGUUAGCUUCUGAAUGUCCUUGAUGUUCUUCGGUGGUCGCAUGUCGAGUACGGCUUUGACUUUUGAAGGGUUUGGUCGUAUGCCGUCGCGACUGACGACGUUGCGGAGCAGUAGACCGGAAGGAACGCCGAAAAUGCAUUUCUUGGGGUUGAGCUUCCACUUGUACCUAUUGAGUGCCUUGAAGGUUCGGUCUAAGUUGUCGAUUAGGGUGCUCGCGUCCCUUGUUUUUACGACCACGUCGUCCACAUAGGCCUCGACGAGGUCAUCGCGAAUCUCGUCGUGGAGGCAUUGCUGGAUGGCCCUUUGAUAAGUGGCCCCGGCGUUUUUGAGUCCGAAAGACAUGGUCGUGUAGCAGUAUGCGCCGAAGGGUGUGAUGAAGGAUGUUUUGAUCUGAUCCUCUUCCUUUAGCGAGAUCUGGUGAUAACCAGAGUAGCAGUCUAGAAAGGAGAGGAGUUCGCAUCCGGCCGUUGAGUCGACCACCUCGUCGAUGCGAGGGAGACCAAAAGGAUCUUUAGGACAGUGUUUGUUAAGAUCAGUGUAAUCAACGCACAUUCUCCAUUCAUUAUUCUUUUUGCGUACAAGAACCGGAUUGGCGAGCCAAUCGGGGUGAUACACUUCUUUUAUGAAUCCGGCUGCUAGAAGCCGUGUUAUUUCUGCCCUAAUAGCCUCCUUUUUGUCACGAGCGAACCGUCGCAGUUUUUGCUUGAUUGGUCUUGCGGUCUUCGAGACAUUUAAGGAGUGCUCGAUCAGGUUUCGUGGGACACCGGGCAUGUCUGCGGGUUUCCAUGCGAAAACGCUCACGUUGUCCCCUAGAAACCUGACGAGCGCGUCUUCCUAUUUUGGAUCCAGGUUGGCCCCGAUGAGGGCUGUUUUCUCGGGGUUGCCUUCGACCAGCUGCACUUCUUUGUACUCCUUGGAUUUUGAGUUCUUCCUGGCUGUCGCCUGUUCGGGUAAUUGGAGCUGGUCGGGAGGUAGCUGUGCGGCUUGGUUUGUUGUUUCCGCCAUGCGGAUUGAGAGGUCGAUUGCCUCGGUGAUCUUGAAGCUUUCUUCUUCGCAGGUGUACGCAGUGUAGACGUUGCCUCUGACGGUUAAGACGCCCUUCUCCGUGGGCAUCUUAAGGACCAGGUAUGAGUAGUGCGGGACUGCCAUGAACUUUGUCAGCGAUGGGCGGCCCAGUAUGGCGUGAUAGGUCCCGUCGAAAUCCGCGACUACGAAGUUGAUGAACUCCGUCCGGAAGUGGUCGGGUGUGCCGAAUUGGACAGGCAAUGUUAUCUGUCCGAGGGGCACUGAACUUUGACCUGGCAAAACCCCCCAGAAUUGGGCGUCGUAAGGUUUUAGUUGUGCCGGUGGUAUCUUGAGGGCGGGCAGGCUGUUGCGGAAGAGGAUGUCGAUGGAGCUUCCCCCGUCCACGAGCACGCGCUCGAAUCUGAUGCUGUUGAUGCAGGGGUCAAGAAUCAGUGGGAAACGACCCGGCUCUGGGAUAGCGGCCCACUGGUCCUUUCUGCUGAACGAGAUCUCCCUGUGGGACCACGUGGGAAAUUUCGGAUCUGCGAUCAGCCCGUCCGUGCUGUCUAUGUUGAGGCAGGCUCUCUUUAACAGCUUUCUUUCUCGCUUGGACUCAGUGGAGACCUUGCCCCCGAAAAUGGAGUGGACCACGUCAGUGGGGCUGACGUAUUGGUGUCGGGGGUCCCUAUCUUGGUCCUCAUCCUCAUCUUCGUGGUCGUGCCCGUCGCGCUUGUUAUUUUUCUUGGCGGAGUCCUCUUGGGCGGCCCGCCGUGUAUAGAUACUUUUGAGGACGCGGCACUCUUCCAUGGUAUGAUUGGACUUUGGGUGUAGCUGGCAUGGUCCCUUCAACGUUUUGUUGUAGUCUUCUUGGUAGUCCCGUCGUCCAUUGGGACGUUUGACCGUAUUUACUUCGUGGUCGUAGUCGCGAGGGCGCUUUCCUCUGAAGUCGUCGCGGCUGUCGCGCCGCCGAUCCCAACCCUCUCGGUGAUCGCGGUUGUCGGAGCGGCGGUGAUUUCUGUUGUCGUAGCGACCACGACCGUCAUCUCGCCGGGGAGGCUGGUCGGGGCCUCUCGCAUCGUCUCGGAUUAGUUUUUCUGCGUCAUCGGCAUCGGCGUAAUUUUUGGCCGUGGCGAGGAGCUCUGCUACCGUUGAUGGGCGCUUACGCAACAGCUUGUUCCUCAGCGCUUCGUGGAAACGCAAGCCCUUGAUGAAGGCUGAGAUGGCCUCGUCAUGAGAAAUCUUCGGGAUUUUGAGGCGCAUAUCCGAAAAUCGUCGGAUGUAAUCGCGCAGAGGUUCAUUCUUCCUGUCCCUUAUUCUUUCAAGGUCAUACUUGUUUCCAGGCUGCUCGCAUGUGGCGAUGAAGUUGUCGAUGAAAGCCUGGCGUAGCUCUUCCCAAGAGUCGAAGGAGUCCUCGGGCAAGCCGAGAAGCCACUGAUGACCAGCCUGGUCGAGGACUACGGGGAAGUAGUUAGCCAUGACAUGCUCAUCUCCUGCCGCUGAUCGGACUGCGAUUUCAUAGAGGGUGAUCCAGUUCUCUGGAUUUUCCUUGCCGUCGUAUUUUUUAAGUUUUUCGAGCUUGAAAUUGCGAGGCCACACGACCUGGCGGAGGUGUGAGGAGAACUGUCUUAGGCCCGGAGGACCGUGGGUUGCAUCGUACUCGAUGCGGCGCAGGUUUUCGUGGACUGCUCUCUCUACGGCGCGCCUGUUGAUGCGGUCCCGGGCAUCUUUGGAAGGGAUGUUGUGGCGGAGAUCCCUGUGUUGAUCUUCUUCUUGGCCGCGUACGCGGUUCUGCUUGCGGCGGCCAUCGGCGUCCCGACCACCAUCGUCGCGGCGUGAGUCCCCUCGACGGUUGUCGGGGGAGCGGCUGCGGUGACGCCUGCUGGGUGAGACCUGGCUACGAUUAGUCUGGUCGGAGGCGGCUUCUGUGUAAGAAACGUCCUGGACUCUCUUGAGCAGAGUGGCUGUCUGUCCCAUUGCGGCGAUCAGGUGCGCUCGGAUGCUGGUCCGGACUCCCUGGCAUUCGGGGGUGUCAGGAAGCCGAUCCAGGUUAGCCAUGGCGACAGCCACGUUGGCGCUUGGCGUUUUGUAGACUGGCUGGUCCCCGACCAUGUCAAAGGCAUCGUUGAGGUUAUUUGGUGGCAUCUGUUGUUGCUCGUCCGCACGUCGUCGGGCGCGAUCGGCGUUACGCUGUUCGCGGAGUUGCCUCUGGUCAUCUGUUUCUCCGUCAACGGCCGGUUCAUCGGCGCUGACAUUGAACACAAUAUCCCCUCGCCGGGGGGGGGAAUAUCGGGAAUCGGUCGAAACCCGGAGGGUGUGAAGGAAAAUCCAGGUCGUAGCCCUCGUCUUCGGUGUUUAUAACCUCGGUGGGGACGGAGCCGGUGCUUGAGUUGGUGCUGGAAACCCGGCCGUCCCGUAGCUCUCGGAUUGUCACCAUGUUGACAUGGUGACGAUUGUUCCUUGUCGGCGACCAACCCGCCUUGCUGAAAACGGAUUGGACAUGCUGUGAGUAAACAGAGGCCGAGUUGUUCAGGCCGCAAGGAUAGUCUUCCUUCUUGAGCUCGACGGAUCGUCCUGAGGGGGUUGAGGUUAUCGUCAGGGACGUUCCCAGCCGUUCGUGUGUGGCGACACGAGUUGGCCGGCGGGAUUUCGAAAAAUCCGCUCGAGCAGCUUGGUCGGGCCGGCGCAGAACUCCAUCUAUUAGUUGGGAGACUUCGAGUAGCUUGGAGUCAGCGCGAUCGAGCGCUCGGAGAAGGUCCGAGCAGUCGAUCUCCUUUCCCUUGUAGAGUGGGAACGGUGGUCGGGCGCUUGGUGCCGUCUUGCGUGUAGUCGGAGACGGCGCGAUCUCAGAUUGGAUCUGGAUCUCUUUCGGAACCGUGGUCGCGAAGCCGCCGCUGCACGUCGUCCACGUGAUCUGGCCGACAGUGAACGUGAGGCCUUCGGGCACGGUCGCGGAAGCUGGGAUCGUGACCAUCUUGUUCGCCGGAAAAGUUGCACGCACACCCCCUACCUGGCGCGCCACUGUCGACGAAAGCUAGUCGGCAGUCUACCUUGGGGUAUACCCACGGUAGUAGUUUGUCGGUAGACGGUGCGCAAACUACGAACUCGAUGGUGACGCAAGACACGGACAAGCUUUUUAUCCAGGUUCGGCCGCCGAGUUGGCGUAAUACCUACGUCCUGCGUCUGGUUGUAUUGAUUUGUGUUGAGAGAAUCUGAUCUGUCCUAGGGGGGUCCCUUGCCCCUCCUUAUAUAGUCUGGAGGGCAGGGUUACAGAUCUGGAAACUAAUCCUAGUCGGUUACAAUUGCCAUGGAUAAUUCGAUAUCAAUUCCUAUUCUAACCGACCAGAAAUCCUGCUUGAUCUCCACAUCUUGUUUCCUUGCGCGGAACUCCAGGUUGUCGGAUCAAGCUUUGAACUCGUCUCGUAAUGGGCCAAGCCUCCUGGCCCAAGUCCAGUCGUAAGGGUAUAGGGGUUUAUACCCCCACAUAUCCCCUCCCUUAUCCUCUCACGGUCUCUCCUUUGGUCCUUCCCAUGUCGACUCCAUGUGGGUGGCCGCCGUUCUUCUCUUCCAAUCAAAUCCACGACGAGGAGGCCACACCCUUCUCCUCCGGCCAGAUCCAUGCCAUGGGAACCUCCCUUCUUCUUCUCCAGCCAGAUCCACGACGUGGUGGCCGCGCCCUUCUACCCCAGCCAGAUCCAUGCCAUGGGAACCUCAGGAAGCUCCGCCGCCUCAUCCUUGAUGCCAAGCUCACGCCCUUCCACCGGGGCGCCGACGACGCGCGCGCCGACCUCGACGAGUGCCCCAUCUACUUCCUGGUAACCAUCCUCUUCCCCAUCUGCCCCAGAUGCAGUUCUACACUAAUUACUCCUCGUUAUGCUGCUCUGUGGCGACGCCGAGGCAUCCGGGCCUUCCUCCAGAUUUCAUCUCCAAGGACGUAGGUCCCCGGCUGCUGCGCGUGCCGUGUCGUACAACUCCCCAAGCAAGGAGGAGCCGCCAGUCCUGUUGCUCCUCCAUUUUCUAUAUGUGAGUAUAGUAGUUUCUGAAACUAACAGCCGGAUUUCUUCAUCUAAAUUGCAUCAGUUCCUAGAUGUACUACAUGCUGCUGCUCUCAACGCACUGGGAUAUGAUGCACUUAUGGUUGAUUUAACUGAAAUGCUUAAUGAUUUGUGCUCAACGGAUUUCUGGAACUUUUGUAACACUGAAGUUACUGAAUUUGAGUUCUUGUAACUGAAUUGCAUGUGACUUUGUUUGACGAGUGGCUGCUUGGACAAUACUUUGAUAAAUAAACAAAGGUAUGUGCUAUAAUUUAUUAUUUGGCACAUCUAAUCGAUAUAGUAUACAAUCUUCAUAUCUAUUAUUUGUAUAUAGGUAAACAUAGUCCAAUGCAGAAACUAUCAUGACACUCCAAAACAAUUCUGUCCCAUGAUUUUGCUUCAAGUAAGGUUGAAAUUAAUUCUUAUAGCAUUAUAUGAUGUGAUUAUCUUGCUGUAUGGAACUCUGAAACUAUGCAUUGGUGCCAAAAGUGUUGGUUGUUUACUUGUUAUCUGUUUUCAGAAUUUUGGACUAGCAUAUGUAUUGAAUUUGUUAACUAGUUUCAAAGCUUCCUAAUAAAUAGAUGACAUUUCUUUUUAGAAUCUUUGCUAGCAAAUCUGACUUAUAUUUGUUUUGAUUUUCAGGUAGCACAUCUUAUGGACAGCAAGUGAAUUGAAGUGCUCGUGAAUACUAAUGUUUAGUUGUUUAGACUCCCUAGAUAUCAAAUCUUUUAGUUCAAACUUAGAUAUUGUGAUAGUCACUCUAAUGGUUGUGAGCUAGGCCAAUCUGUGGCUUGAUGUUCAAUGUGGCUGUUGUGGACAUGCUAGUACAUGAAUGAAUUAUUGUUUGGUGAAUCUUACGAGUUGUGAUGCAUGUUGAUGAAGUGAUGAUUUGGCACUUAUUUUUUAUGUUCUUUUCAUCACUAUGCUUUGGAUGUGGGCUUGGAUCUGGGCUGGUUAUAGAAGAUAGACAACUAACCCAUGACGAUCACAUAUCCUAAUCUAUGACGGCUCAAUUAGAUCCAGCAAAUGUAUGACGUGAGAUACAUGACAGAUUUUUCGAUCGUCAUGGCAAGUUAACUGUGACGUAUUUUUGACUGUCUGUCACCAAAGUGAUCGUCAUGUAAAGCACCAUUCCUUGUAGUGGACAGACGUCGAGGCUGUGGCGAAGUGCAGGAGCUGGAGUGGUGGUGGGUGGUGAGAUGCAGGCUGGAACGGUCGGGAGAGUAACGCAGGGUCGAGGCGAUGCGUGAAGGGAACUGUGACGGCGACGUGAGUAGUGAGAGCGGGAGGAGUGGCAUGGCAGCUGCUGGACAUCUCAGUCGGCGGCUGUAUCGUUUUCCUCAUGUAUACUAUACCCUUGUUAUCGUCAAAGCUGGGUCGUUUGCUCUUGGGGCUCACGGAUCGAUCCUAGGUUGAACACCUGUGUGUCCUUAAUUUGGCUUAAAGGAAACAGUACUGACGUACGUACGUGGACACACCGUUUGCAUAGUUGCUGCUCAUCACUUCAUCAGAAAUAAAAGUUCUCAUUGCUUGCUCGCCUUUAUCGGGGCAAGCGUAUUCUUGGCACCAAGCAGCCAUAACGAGCCGAGAGGGAUGGCUGCUGCCUGCUGUUAUCUGAAAAUAUUAAUCUACAGUACAUUCUACUCAUGGCAAAAUCUUUAUCUGAAAGGAAUAAAAGGAACGUUUGUUUAGUUGUGACUUGAGAUCGCCAUUCUGCUGCGUCGACUGCACUCGUUUUUCUAAGGCCUUGUUUAGAGCCCGUACGGCCCUGUGCGAUUGAACUAGGCCCUCUUGAGAUCGCCAUUCUGCUGCGUCGACUGCACUCGUUUUUCUAAGGCCUUGUUUAGAGCCUGUACGGCCCUGUGCGAUUGAACUAGGCCCUCCAAAUUUAUGGGCCUUAAAAUUUAUUGAGCGUCCUAAGUAUAUAUAAUAAUUUUAAAUUUGUUUUAAUUAGUAAAUUAGUCACAUACUCAAUAAAAGUGGCCCGCUACUUAUUUCAAGAGAAAGUACAUUGAGUCUAUAAUCCUGAGUUAGAAAAGUCUAUGAUCGGUAAUUCUUCUUCACGUAAGUUUGUAACCCUUCGUGAGUUUGUGACUUCAUCGCUUGGACUUGUUGCUCGCUCUUGGUGUUGUUUGUCGCUCAAGAGUCGAGACCUAGUAGCAACCUUAGACGGCCGGACCCAAAUCAGGACACCAGACGGAGAUCAUUGCCUAGUAUAAAUUUCAUGCACAACCCCUAUUUUAUUUAGUUAAUCUUUUAUACAUUGCCUUUGUAAUAUAUUAAUAUUUGAUAUUAUCUUUUUUAGAUUUUGACAAUAUAUAUUAGACCUCUACUUGUUGUUUUGAACUGGGCCUCAUAUUUAUCCGGGACGUGCCUGCAUAUAUGGAGCAUUAAAUAUAGAUAAAAAAUAACUAACUGCAUAGUUUGCAAGAUGAUUCAUUUAAGCCUAGUUAGUUAGUCCAUAAUUGAACAAUAAUUGUCAAAUACAAACGAAAGUGCUACGGUAGAUAAACCUAAAAAAUUUUAGAGAUACAUACAUCUUUUUUUCCUUGGUUUGCUUGGUAUACUGUAUUUUGAGGCGCCUCAAGUCAAACUGCAAAUUAAGUUUUUAGAUGUAUUUAUAUUGCAUUUUUGUAGUUUAUCUAUUUGACGUUAACACUUUGUUUUAUAAGUUUAGUCAAACUUUGAAUAGUAACAUGCUUCGUGUGAACAACGAUAUCACACAAAGUCACAACAUGGCGUGGUCUUAUCUUCGAGUUGAAGAGACGAUUAUAAAUGGCAUUCAUCCUUGAGUCACUUAGAAGAGGAGACGACUCGUCGGAAAUAUUUUGCUUCUUCGGAAGAGCAGGCUACCGAUCAGGGGUGGAAAGGUUGUUUCACAGUUGGUGGGGGCAUCAUCGCGCCGAGGCUAAAAAUUCUUUUUUUUUUUGUAUACAUAUAACGGCUAGUGAAAGUGUAGCAUACACAAGUUCUCACUCUCACCGUUGCCAAUGGAUUGGCUUCAAAGCGAGACAGAGUCCUAUACGAAACAAAAGUUCGUUUGCCGGCGCCCACGGAGUCGUCACCAACUGACCAUGCAUGGUUCCCAUACCGAACAUGGUUUCUAACAUAGAAAUGGACACAUCCUGAUAGAACUGAACCACACGCACAGUUAACCAGCCACACAGCAUACGAUCAAUUAAUUCUACAAAUGCAAUGUCAUUUGCAUAGCACGUAUAUGGUGAUAUAGGUAGUUUUCUUUUUAUUUUUCUACCGAAGCCACUCCUGUCCACCAACCCAACCUUUGGUGAUGAACGGUGCAGCUUGAGCCUGCGACAUGUCGUGAGACCACGCUACUCUUCCGUCAGUCUUGGAGCCUUCCCCGUAGCACUGGUACUGCCCGUAGAACGCUGUCCUGCACGGCCACAUUAUUAUUGAACCAGAAACACGUCAGGAACGAUCGGAGAACGAACGUACGCUACGCGAGAAAUCGUUUCAGCUAGCAGCAGCAGCUGUAGUGCGCACAGUGCACCUCUGCCUCUGUUUGUCGCCGUCGGUCCAGUCGUCCCAGCCCUGGGGCCUCACCGUGCUGGACAUGUAGCUGAGCGCGAAGACGACGCGGGAGUAGGGACCCCAGGGUCGCCCCAGGAUGGACGUGCCGGCCCCGAGCCCCGUCAGCUUGCACCCCACGAAACUGAACCCGGUGUCCUCCGACUCCGACCACCGUUUAUGCGCCGUGAACGCGCCGCCGGCCGCCGACACGGAGUGGAGGUGGCACUUCUGCAUGCGUACGACGACAUCAGUUUGAUCGAGUAACAGAAAUAAUAUGGAUUUUUGAUGAUGGAUGGAUCGAUCGACAGGGUAUAUACGCACAUCGAACAGAGCCUUGCCAUUGCCGAAGAUGAAGUCGGUGGCACCUUGGACGUAGCAGCCGCGGUAGUAAUGGCGGCCCGUGUCGUCCAGGAGCGUGUCCUGGAACGACACGAACCUGCACCCGUAGAACGCCGCCCUGUCUCCGGCGACCCUCAUGGCGACUGCCGGCCCGCUACUCCCAAACGUGUUCUGCAUUGCAAAUGAAUAACGGAACCAAUCAAGACCGUGCUACGUAUGUAUGCUAAUAAAGUACAUGAACCAAUUAAUCAAAAGACUGCAUAUAUUUGCACACCUGGAACGCUAAGCGCUUGGCGAUGAAGUCGGAGGCUAGCACGGAUACUGUCGGGCUCUCGGAGGCCACCCAGGACUCGUUCCAGGUGAUGAUGGUCGAGCUGGCGCUCGUGCCCACGAGAGUUAUGCAAGGCUUGUCCACCACCACUUUCUCUCUGCACAAAUUGGAGUGCAAACCAAACGUAGCACUAGAGAUUAGCUUUGAUCCUUUUUUUUAAAAAAAAAGAGAGAGAGAGAGAGAGAGAGAGAGAGAGAGAGAGAGAGAUUAGCUUGAUGAUCAACAUGUGGAUCCAGAAAUGAGCGAGCAUGCAUGCGUGUGUACACGCCAGAUCUCGAGCGAGAGAGCGAGCUAGCAUCGUCGCGUUCACCACUACACUUGCCUGUAAACUCCCGGCUUGAUCCGGAUGACGACGCCGCCGCCGCCGCUGCCGGAGCCACCCGCCGGUGCCGCAUCGAUCGCGUCCUGGAUCCUCCUAUGGUCGCCUUUGCCGGACUGGUCGACCAGGAGGACGAGCUGCCGCGACCGCGAGCCCGUCGUCAGCAUAUCGCCGCCCACGCCGUCGUCUUCAGUGGCUGCGCAUGCAGAAGCUGCAGGCGACGAGAGCCAGCAGCCCUGCUGCUGCCCGGCGGCGCCUUGGCGCGAUUUAACAACAUGCUAGUCCCGAGUCCCCGACGAUGAUGAUGAGUCGACCGUAAGGCAUGGAGCUCGCUUUCGCGCGAACCGGUGCACCAACCAGGCAAGUAUAUAUGUAUAUAUAAUAUAUAUGUGUAGCCAGGUCAACUGCUGGCUAAAUACGCAAGCUUUGCCGAGAGCCAGACCCUCGGCAAAGACAACCUUUGCCGAGAGCCCUGUCAUCCUCUCGGCAAAGAGCCUUUGCCGACGGCCAGGCUCUCGGCAAAGAGGGGCUCUAGGCAAAGGUCAGCUUUGCCGACAAGCCCUCGGCAAAGAUACCGUGCCGUAAACGGCUGCCGUAGUCAUCACCUUUGCCGAAAGCCGUGCCGUUAGGCUCUCGGCAAAGAGGUGACCUUUGCCGAGGGCAACUGCAGGCCCUCGGCAAAGACCCCGUUCAUGUUUUGCUCCCGUCCGAGUCGGAGUUUUGGCAGUACCUCCCCGUUGUUCUCCGGAUACACACUCUCCUUGCUAGGACGUGUACUAGGGGUGAGGCGCUAGCGACUUCGAGGAGUGAUAUUCAUGUGGACUUGUGGUUUAUGUUAUGAACUUGUGGUUUAUGUUAUGAACUUAUGGUUUAUGUUGGACGUAAUGUUAGAUUUGUCAUAUCUAUGUGGAUUUGUGAUAUCUGUGGACUUCGAUAUGUUUCAUGUGUGAUAUAUAUGUGGAUUGUGAUAUAGACAAAGGGAUUUGUGAUAUAUAUAUAUACAUAUGUGGCUGUGCAUGUAAAAAACAGAGAAAAAAUAAAAAACAAAACUAAAUUCCCAGCUUUGCCGAGAGCCUGGAUGGCUGGCAUUCGGCAAAGAUAGAAAGCCGGGUUCAGAAGAACUACAGCUUUGCCGAGAGCCUGGUUGUCUAGCUCUCGGCAAAGGGGUUCUUUGUCGAGAGCCUGGCUGUCUGGCUCUCGGCAAAGGUGGUCUUUGCCGAGAGCCUUCCUGCAGGGCUCUCGGCAAAGAACCCCUUUACCGAGAGCCAGACAGCCAGGCUCUCGGCAAAGGCUUUUUUUUUAAAAAAUAAAGAAUCUUUGCCGAGAGCCUGCCAGCACGGCUCUCGGCAAAGACGACGUCAAUAUUGACGUUUCUCGACGGCGCCGUAGGCUUUGCCGAGAACGUUUCUAGCCCUCGGCAAAGUCUUUGCCGAGAGCCUGCCACGUGGCUCUCGGUAAAGAAUUUUUUGCCGAGAGCUUCUUUGCCGAGAGCUCUUUGCCGAGAGUCACGUGGCAGACCCUCGGCAAAGCCUUUGCCGAGAGCUUUUAGGCCUUUGCCGAGAGCUCUAGGCUCUCGGCAAAGAAGCCGGAUCCAGAAGUAUAGGUUGCAAGUACGAGAGUGUAUGCUUGCGCGGAUGGGCGUGCGGUGUUCCGUUACGCGAGUUGGUGCCAAACUAGAUACGCACAGGCACUGGUUGGUGCCUGAUGACACUAUUAGCUCUAGUACCGUCGGGAAAUCCACGCACAUAACGUUUGGACGAAGAUAUUCAUCAUUUCACGGGAGCGCCAACUGCUGGUCUAAUAACCAGCUAGCAGGCGUGCAAUGGCGGAAUGCGCGCGAAAAGUGUUCGGGCCGGGUAGCUUCACUUGGAGCAAAGGAAUUGAAUUUGCUGAUGAUGAUCGGUAAAUACUGAUAUAUAGUACUCCCUCCAUCCUAAAUUAUAAGUCGUUUGAAUUUUGUUACCCUAAGUUUGACCACUCGUCUUAUUCAAAAAAUUUGUGCAAAUAUAAUCAAAUUUAAGUCAUUUUUGAAGAACUUUUAUUAAUAAACCAAUACACAACAAAAAAAAUGAUAUUUUGUAUAAAACUUUAAAUAAGACAAGUGGUCAAACUUGAUAUUAAAAAAGUCAAACGACCUAUAAUUUAGGAUGUAUUGAGUACUUGGCUUGUUGCGUCGGUCCAAUCCACAUGCAUAUGUAAAAGGCUACGUAGAGAUAUGUACAGUUGCGGUCAUCGUAACUAGACUAGAUGCACAUCUUGGCUGUUAUGGAAUUUUUCCAUUUGCAUUUUUGUCCGCGACGACUGUGGGCUGGUCGAAAUGUUUUGCGGUGUUCAGUGUGUUGCUUAAAGUUUGUGCUACACUGUGGGCUGGUCGAAAUAGUUUUUUAAUUAGUGUCUUGUUUGAAUCCCCAUCAAAACUUGCAUCUAGACCCAUCCCACUGCAAAUAACAUAGGUGACAUACAUUCAUAUAUGUUCUUAAAUUUAUGGGUAGACGUUAGGUACCCGAGGGUAAAUUUUAAUACUAACAUCUAUCGCAUUUUUUGCGAGUACCCGACCUUUAUGCGCAACUGUGGGUAAAUUUUUAUGCCCGUGUUCAUACUCAUUGGAUACUAAAUCCACAGGUAUCUGCACCUGUGUAUAAAAGUGCAGACAUAACAGCACCAAAGCUACAUGUUAACUAGAGGGUGCAAAUGCACCUCCAAAAAUUAUAAAACAGUGAUUAGAUUCAAAAUUUCAUCAUAUAUGCAUCUCCCAUAUAAGAUGUCUAUGGAUUCACAAGUUAAGUGCACCCUUCUCUAAUUUGCUCUAGCUUCGCCACUAUUCAACACCCCACAUUGCAUUUUAUUGUAUUUUUAAGAUAGAUUUCUGUAAAAUCAAAUAUAAAAAAGAAAUAAAAAACACCAACCAAAUACUUUAGAUGCUCGCAAACAAUCAUUCAAUAGUUGGGGGUCAAAAAAACCCUCGGGGUUUCAAGGGAAAAGGAAAAGAUCUUUCUUUGUACAGGUCCUUUGUCAAUCUCAUUACUGACAAGUGACAGAUAGAUCUUUCUGUCACCAUUUUAUAUUUCUGUUUUCUCUACUUAGUUAACAAAAAAAAUUUAUUUUUUUUUAAGAUUUUCUGUCACAUCGAAUCUCUAGACGCAUGUAUACAACAUUAAAUAUAGAUAAAAAAUAACUAAAUGCAUAGUUUAUCUGUAAUCUGUGAGAUCAAUCUUUUGAGCCUAGGUAGUUCAUAGUUAAACGAUAAUUAUCAAAUACAAAUGAAAAUGCUAAGUAGCCAAACUCAAAAAUUUUCACCAACUAAACUACCAGCUGUCUGAAGUACUGCAAGCUGCACCUCUCCGGCGUUGCUUUAUAUUUUUUUAAAAAAAGUUUCUUGCCAUCUUUUUUUUCCUCGACCGUGCAUUGGCACGUUCAAUACUUCAAUCCUGCUAUUUUGAGGCCGUUUGGAAUAUGGGAUUUUCCCCUUGUUUCUGUAUUUUUCUAUAAAAUUAAGGGUUUGUUUAGUUCUCCAUUUGAGUCAAAUUUUUUUUUGAGUUUCAGCCUAGCAUUUUGCAUAAUAGAACUAAACACCAUCCAAAACUUUUUAGCAAAAUUAUUGCCAUUUUUUUCAUUCUGGAUUUUGGUCUCGAGAGAAAAAAAUGCCCAAAAGAGCCUUCCAAUCUUAAGGAAUUAAACAUUUGUAUGGAUCUAAAUAUAACCUUGAAAAUUUUGGCAUUUUGCAUUUCAUAAUUCUAAAGUAGUUGAUAUUUUGCAUUUUGUAUUCCAUGAGCUAGGAACUAAGUAGGGGUUAAUUUGUACAAUUCUCGUAUUAUUUUUGAGAAAUUUCUGCGUUCUAAACAGGGUGUUUCUUCAUAAACAAAAAAAAAAACAAAAAAAAAGAGGACGAGAAAAACAGAGCUGACGAAAUGGAGUCAACUGUCAAGGAACUUUUCUACCAUUUUUCUGUUUAAGGCACGAAAUCUUCCUAGCUUCCUCUUGGUGUGCACGGAAGUGAUCAGAGGAAGCAACCUCUGCAACGCAAGAAACAACAUUCAGCGGCCUGAACUUGUAAACUAUCACCCGAGAUUCCUUUCUUCCCUCGAAAUGGCAAAGGCAGGCACCAAUUCUUGUUUGCCAUCUAAGGGAGAAAACUUGCAUCAUAACUUCAUAGGAGGCGACCCAUCGUAAGCUUCAGCAGCUGAUCGGAGAACUCACCCGCCCACCCCGAUCGAGCUAGCACCCAGAGAAACGCAAGAGCAGGACAGCAUUUGCUGAUUUGUUCCAUCAAGGUACGUGAAGCUUGACUCGUUUAAUUUCCGCUUGCCAAUGUACUUAGGGUUGUUUAGUUCCUAUUUUUUCUCAAAAAAUUUUAGGUUUUGGUCCAUCAUUUUGCAAAAUAGAACUAAACACCAUGCAAAAUUUUUGGCAAAAAGGUAGUUAUUCUCUAUUUUGAAUUUUGGCCUCAAAGAGGCCAAAAAAACCUAAAAUGAGCCUCAAGAGGUUUUAUGACAAGAAUAAAUUCUGCAUUUUGGAUGAAACUAAAUAUCUGAAAAUUUUGAUAUUUUGCAUUUCAUCACUCCAAAGUAGUUGACAUUUCGUAUUUUGGAUUCUAUGGGAACUAAACACCCCCUUAGCGAUUUUUUUUGAAUAACCCCUUAGCGAAAAUUCAAUGCAAAACCCAAGAAAUCAAGACAAAUUCAGCGACUAUACUUGCUUUUUUUCUGAGGGAUCUGGAGGGAGCCCCUAUCUACUUGCUUUAUUCAAGAAACAAGACACACUUAGGCUAUGUUCAGUUCCCAGGGAAUCAGCCCCUAAAUUGUAUAGCUAAUUUUUACCGGGAUUGAAUCCUGCCACGAACGAGCCCUUAGCCUAUUUUCGUACCAAAAGACACCUCGACAAAAUGGCAUACUGAAGUUAGCAGUAGAUUUUUACAACGUUAGGUCCAUAUAAACCAAACAAAGCUGAUAAUCACGUAUCAUGUUAUUGUCAUUCCAUCAGGCAGAUCAAACAUGCAAGGGAUCACGAAGGCGCUGCGCCUCCAUGGAAGGCAGCUAAGGCACACAGUUCUGCAACAUAUGAACAAGGGGAUCUUCUCCUGGGCCACCCUUAUUUCGCGCAUACAAAGCGAGUCGCCAACUGUGAUUAUACCACACAUGGGGCUCGAGAACAUUACCGUCAGUGAAAUUCUCAAGGCAAAGGGGGAGGCUGAAGCUGGAGCAGUCUACUGGUGCAGCACCAGCCAUUCUGUACAUGAAGCAGUACAGCACGUAAGCAUUAAUGUUUUUGGAGAACAACAGCGGAUUUAUCUUUCAACUAUAGUAUUACAGCAGAGUGACCAAAUACUGAACACUGUGGUUGAAACUAUAGAUGACAGCACACAAUGUUGGAGCUCUGGUGGUUCUCAAGUCAGGGAACAUGAACCAGCUUGCAGGAAUUGUAACCGAGAGAGGUACGCUAAGAUCAGCUGUUGAUAUAUACAUUGAUUAUUACUGCAUUUCUGAAUUAGGUUGUUGAUACAACCAACUGGAAUCUGAAAAUGAUCUGAUCAUGUAUCCUAUUCAGAAAUAAAGAAAAUAAUCACUGAAAUGUGGUAUCAGGAGAAAGAAAUAUUGACGGCCACAAUUAGCUACCUUAACUCAAACAUACUGCUUAAAUAAGGCGUGUCUGGUAUAAUAGGAAAACAUUGAAUUCUCUUACAUCCUAAAAUUUAAAUUUUAAUAAAGAAUUUAAAGUUUGACCAAUAUUAUAGAGAGAAAAGUAUUGACAUAAAAAAGGUAAAUAUUAUGAUAUAUUUCAUAAUGGGAACAAUGAUGUUUAUUUGAUAAUGUAAAUAUUAUUAUUGUGCUUUUCUCUAAAUCUUGUCAAUUUUUUUACUUAGAAUGUAAAUGUAAAACUCUUUAUAUUUCUUUUUUGAAAGGGAAUUCCUUAUAUUUUAGGAUGGAGGGAGUACAUAGUAAGAAAAAACUCCUUAACUAACCAACAUCAUCUAAUAACCAUAUAAAUAGCUAGCAGAAAGGAUUUGAAACAGUUAAAAGCAAAUAAUGCAUUUGAAUUUUACAGUUGCUCUCAAAAAAAAUGAAUGUUCAAAUGAAAUACUCCUUCGCUACAGAUUUUUCCAGGAAGAUCCUCUUGCCAGGGCGACCUUCAGAAGAAACCAGAGUUGAAGAUAUCAUGACAGAGGAGGUGAAAAAAAUUUAUGGAACAAACUCUUGUCUAAUUGAACAAUGUCAUAACAUAUCUCAUAGUCCUCACCAUUUUCCUUACUAUUGCAGGACAAGCUAAUUACAGUGUCUAGUCAUACCAAUAUUCUACGUGCCAUGGAGGUUAUGACAGGUAUGGAUCAUUCUGCAGCUUGUUAAUUUAAGUAAUUGUGUCAUAUCUGAAGGUUGCAGGAAACCUCUGAGCUACACAUCUUCCAUUUUUCUAUUAACAGACAAGCAUAUCAGACAUGUUCCUGUUUUCGAUGAGAAGGUAGUUGGUAUGAUAUCCAUUGGUGAUGUUGUUAGAGCGAUUGUGGACCAACAGCACCAGGAAGUAAAACAGCUGAAGAAGUAUAUCAGAGGAGAUUAUUAUUAGAAUAAUGUGCAGUCCUUACAUUUGGUGUAUAAACAUAAAUUAUGUGUAAUCGUUUACUGAUAUUUAAUACAUAUAUUUUCCUCGAUGACAUAAUCUGGACAUGCUGCGGGUCUAAUUGGUACCUCUUAUAAACUGCUCAUGUCCAAAUACAAGCUAAAACUAACAGCUAGGGAUGAAAAUACAUAAGCAGUUUUAGUGCAAACUAGAUACUGUGUCAAAUUUGAUUAACGAAGACUAUUUAACCUAAGCACCACACUUCCCAAUGAUGUAGGGAUAAUGCAUUAUGGUUGGCUGCUUGCGUACUUAAAUAAAUACGAUUUCUCUUGAAAAUAGAUAUUUGUUUUGCAACAAUCUGACUACAUAAUAAAUAUUGUAAGCAGCACUACUGAUUCUAUUAUAAAUACUAAGAUCAUGGUGCCAGAUUUGCUUUCAGCUUGUAACAUUGCUAAUGUAGCCUAUAAUUCUAUUGUGUUAUUGUUUGUUUAUUUAGUUCAGAAUUUAGUUGUGCUAAGUAUUUUGUUCUUAGAAAUUUAUGGAUAGAAUACAUGUGUAUGUGGGCUGUAUAGCAACACAUAUUCUGCAUUUAUGCUUUGAGUUAGUCUUUCCAUACUAAAAAUGACAAAAGUGCGUAAUCAGAAAAAUAUGUAUCAAAUAAAGUAAGAUACUUUCAAUAAUGACAAUGUACGUGCAAAUUCAAAUAUUUACUUCAAGUUAUUUUAAAUAUCAUGGAGGUCGGCAAUUUAGAUGCAAACUUGAUUGUUACUUUAGAUAUAGCUCUUUCUAAUGAUAUGUGUAAUUUAGAUUAUAGAUUAGGAGUUACUCCAAGUUGUAUUUUAUAAUGACACAGGUUAGUAAUUUAGAUACAAUUUUAGGAGGUUACUUUACAUUAUCCUGACAAUGGCAUAUAUGCAGAUUUAGGAGUUCACUUUAGAUUAUUUUUAUAAUGUGGUUAAUAUUUUAGAAAGCAUAAAUGAAUCUAGUGGCUAUUAUAAUCUUAUUGUAGUUAGAUUCUAAUAGAGUAAUAGGACCAUGGUUGGAUUUUUCUUUCUGAUUGCUGAUAGGAUUUUUAAGAUUUUUCUUCUUGCGUGUCUCAUGAUGAUUAACAUUAAUGAGUCUUGUAAGAUUGAUAGGUAGUGAAACGAAUACUUAGCAAAUGGUGAUGCCACUGAAAAUCUUCAAAUUUUGCAUAUUUAUUUUCCUUUUUUUAAAAAAAAAUCGGUUCCAAACUUAAUUGUCACAUAUUUGUUUCUUGUAGGCUAUCCUCAGUUACUACUUGUUCCAGCCUGAUACCAUUUCCCCCUGUGGUGCCGAGUAAUUCCUAGACAAAUGCAGAUGCUUAAAGUGAAUUUCUAGUCACGGAGAAUUUGUUCUUUACCAAUACUCCAGCAGUAGCAGUUUUGCUGUCCCGGAAAGUAUUAGUGCUUUUCUUUUCCUAGAUUCUUCCAAGUAAUAUAAUGCCAAGCUCCUCGCAGGAGCAAAUAGUAACGACCAGUUUUUAAUUUGCUGCAGAUUCUUGCAUUCGCUUGCAAGUUGAGGCUGCGAUAAUCUGCUUUUGAUUGAUUUAGUAAUAUAUAAUGCUAUUAUUUGGGGGCAGAAUUUUCUCAAGAAUCUAAGAAUGCAAAAGACACGGCAUUGGGGAAUAUAUACAUUAAACACAAUUUUCAAUUCAGAUUGAAUAAAGAAGAAAUGACCCAUUGGCCGUUAUCCACAUUUAAAACGAAUCAAACUUUGUUUCGAUAUUGAACAAUGUUUUGUCCUCUGCACUCAGCAUAAUACACACAGCCAUUACAUAGGGAUAAUGAAAAAAAAUGGUGUGCAUAAAGCAUGACUGCAUUAUUUCAAGCCAAGACCUUAGACUCAAAUCCAACCUACACUACAAAAUUACAGAAAGACUAAACAUCAACCGGUUGUUUCUCUGGUUUCGGUCAACUGAUUUUUGGGCCUUUUGAUUUGGGCACGAUUUGGCGCUGAGCUGAUUGUCGAUCGUUCGAUUUGGGCACGGUUCGGCGCUGAGCUGAUUAACAACGACGCAUGUACGCGUGCCUAAAUAUGUGCGUUUGCACGAUCUUUAAAACGUACGCAUGCCUAGCCAGCCGUCGACGGGACUCUGACGCCUGACGACGAGAUGGCUGGCAGUUUGGCACCGGCGCCAUGCUCCUCCUCUGGAUGGAUACACUUGCGCGGAUGCGAAAGUGACGGUGGCGCAACUCAUUCACGGAUGCAGCUGUAGGUCGUGAGCUCCGAUGUUCACAGGCAAGUAUGGCUGCCCGGCGUGAUGCAUAUGACUGUAUGGGCAUGUACUCCCAGUCCCAGGUGGGCUGCCUACGCCUCGCGCACGCACAGCUGACCAGAGGCCUCAUGCUGCCGCACGUCAGCGAUGGAGCUCUGCACUCAGUUCUCCUCUUCCUCUGAUGUCUGCAUUUUUUUCUAAAAUUUGUGAAUAAUUUAUAAAUAAUUUGACAUAUAUUUCUAUGGUAUCUGAGAUCCAUAGAAAUAAUUUAUGAUUUUUUUGAAAGAUUUGGUAUAUAUUUGUAUUAUCCUUAAAUUACACCACUAUAUCUAAUAAAUUAUACUAAAGAAGUCAUUGUAAAUAUAGUAAUAAGUCAAUGUAAGUAUAGUUAAAAGUGUAUAGGAAAAAUUCAGUUGACAAGAUAAACCAGAACAACUGAAUGUCAUCUAGAUAGAUCUAAAAAUUAAGAAUCUUGUUUGGGGUUAUCUUUCAUCGCCUUGGCGUCAUAUCUAUAGACAUACCGGCCUAGACAAUCUGGCCAAAUUAGAGACUAAAAACUACUUAUUUUCUGUCUCGCGGCUCAUUGCACCAAUUUUCAACUCUACCCCUCUGCUUUCUGGAUAGAUCGUAGACGGGCAUUUUUUUUUAAUGCGGCGUCACUAAUUCGCGCGCGCUAGCACAAGUAGCGAGCGAUUUCUGGCAGGAAAUGACAAACUUAAUUCCUGCUUCCAUCGUUGCCCGCGCGCCCCACCGGCGAUGACGCCGCCCUCGCCGCCGUGCCGUGCAGCUCACCUCCUAAAGCUAUAUAUAUCUCAUGCAGCCAGCGAUUGUACCACUACCAUAGCGUCGCCGUUGCAGUGUUCUCAGCUGGCACACGGGCACGGCCAGGCCAGUGCGUGUACUGACGAAUAUUCAAAAGCAGAGGCCAUUGGUACUCAUGGCCGGCACUGACAUGUGACGUGAAGAAAAAAGAACAGUCAUCAAGCAGCAUGACUAACCGCGUUAAUAAGGCUGUUGGGGGGCUGGACCCUUUCUUCGAGGAUCUCCUCCAUCCGAGGAACCUUCCUACGAAAGAGCGCGGAGGUUUGGGGCAAAUUUAAUAUUAAUGCAUCUCUUGUGGUACUAAGCAAAUGCAGAAACCAAAGUAAAGGCGGAGGUCAGAAGCGGAGAAGGAAUAAACCUUCAAAUCCUCCCGCAAUGAAGGAUGGCUGAAGGAAUGACGGAGGAGCGCCUGCGCCAGGGAACCUCCGGCGUGGCCGAGCCUAAGAACCUUCGGCGUAGAAGCGUCGAAGGUUCAGCAGCCUGGCGAAGAAUUCAAGCCUUCAACAAGCUGAAGCCCUAGGCGAGGAGUGCGCGAGGAGCUCGUAGUGUGAAAUUACAUAAAUGGCUUAGGGUUAGUAGACUGUAACAUAAGAAUAUGUCGGGAUAUUUCUCCAACGUCACGGGACAUUUUUGUAAUUACCUCAGGUCGGUUUCCGAGCCCUAUAUAAAGGGAGUGAAGCCACCAUUAAGUGAGGAGAGCAUUUAUUGUUUCCACCUACUGUUCAACUCACUGUUCGCUGUUGAUUGAGUCUCUCACUGCAUCGUGUGAGAAGGUUCUCAGUACAUUGUGUCGCUGGGGAGUGCAGUGUGCAUUUUCCAACAAAGGCCAAUUUGCGUAGUGUUGUUUUUGGGAAAAAAAAAAAGAUGGCCACUCCAUUUAAAGACUGGGAUCAGUGACGGACGGUGGAGGCAUAUGUUCUGAAUUCCACUUGUGUUUUGGUGCAUGCAUGUGUUUUUCCUCAAUCUAGGAGCCGGGUUUGACAAGUCGUCUAAUGGAAAGGCAGGUCCAGUUUCAUUUUACAAUUCACCUGAUAGGCUGAGACUAGAUCUACAAAGUGUGCUGAUGCUGUUCUUUGUGGUACAGAGGGUUUUUUUAUAUAAAAAAACUUAGCAAGAGAUUUGCCGAACAACUUUAUUAACUACUCCCUCCGUCACUAUUUAGAAGGCGUAACUGUUGUUUCUAAGGCCUUAUAUAGAUUCAAAAAGUUUUGGACUUUGACACAGUAGCACUUUUAUUUUUAUUUAACAAACAUUGUCUAAUUAUGGAGUAACUAGGCUUAAAAAAUUCGUCUCGCGAUUUAUAGUCAAACUGUGCAACUACUUUUGUUUUUAUCUAUAUUAAUGCUCUAUACAUAUGCCGCAAGAUUCGAUGUGACGGAAAAUCUUGAAAAGUUUAACUAAACAAGGCCUAAGUGUCCUGGCAUACAGGGCGUCUCGCAUGCAACAUGCAGUGAAUGACGCCGGCUGGACUCAUGGUUGCCUUGUAUGCAGCUACUACUCCAGGCACGGACCAGUACUAGUGCAACGCAUUGGCUUGUACUCUUUGUUUACAACAUGCAACUACUUUUUGCCACGAUAAAUGAUGAGCCUAUACUCAUAUUAAAUGAGCUCCUUGGUCUCUGUCUUAUAUGGGAGUUGCGCCUUCUAAACUAGAACAGAAGAAGUAUACUCACUAAGUGUGGAGCGCAAAUUGACACUUUACACCUCGGAGAGAUAGGCAAGAGUACAUAAUUUAAUUUUAAAAGAUAUCAUUUUUUAGGAUUAUUAAGACUAUUUUUUGCAUGGCCUAGGUACACUUUAUUUUUGAACAUGAAAGCAUUAUUUUAUCUUCGUUCUCUCAACCCAAGUGGCAUGGUGCUUUUUAACGACUCUCAUUCACUCCUCUUUUGAUCGCCAUUUAUGACCCUUCAAAUAUCCUCCUUGAUCAAGAGCUUGAGUUAUAGAGGUUGCAAGGAAGUGUGUUGAAAUAUCCUCUGGUUAUGCUCUUUCUACACAUUCCACCAAAAAUAGAUCAUUGUGUCGUCAAAAUCAUCCUUUUGUGUUUCUUUCUACACCAUGUCUCUCCCUUUCCUUCAAUAUUUAUAGAUGGAGCCCUUUCCUCCAACACUUAUAGAUGGAGCGUCAAUAGAUCCAUGUGUUUGCAAAUGCCUUAAUCAAACCAAGAGAGAAUUAGGUCAAGUGUGGUAGGGCUCUCUCUGUCUCUGGCUACCAUGCUACCAUAUGAAAGAAGUCAAAGCUAGAGGAGCCACAAAAUGUUGCUUCUUCGAUCUCCCAGAUUAUAGAGAAAAAAUAGCUCCUAUGAACUGUUGUAGGUCAGGAUGGCAACGGGGCCUCGAUCCCCGAUCCCUGCUGUGAAUUUCAUCCAUUAGGGAAUGAAUUUGGGGUAAAUUUGUCCCCCGUGGGGAUGUUAAUGGCUAAAAACAAUACCCGUCGGGUGAGCCGGGGAUGGGAUCGUUCCCCACCUCCCCGUCCCCGUUAUCCGCUAACACCCCUGAGUCCCUUAACAUGCUUAUAAGGCCCAAGGAGUCCAAUUCAGCCUAGCCCAUUACACUAACACAUAUAAGCUGCGAGUAACCAUAGCCGCAAUACCCAAUUCCCCAUCCCCAUCUGUCAUCCCAUCCGCCUGUCCGCCGCUGCUCACACCGCUCCCACACUCAGCACUCCGCCACUCCCGCUCGGGCUCAGUGGCUUGGCCGCUCGCCCGAAGCCCUGGACACCCGUUCCGCAGGCCGCACCCACACCCGCAUGUGGCUCCCAAACUCGCCGCACCUACCGUCACACCGCACAGACGCACACGCACCGCAUUCCCACUCCCACGCGCACGUAGGCCAUCAACGCGCAGCCACAGCCGCAUGCCGCUGCUCACGGCGGCUCUGCGCCUCUGGACAGUGGACUCCAGUCCUCUGUGUCUGGUCCAUGGGAUGGCGUCAGAAUUCGCUGAUGUUAUCGGCCAGUGAAGAUCUCCUUCAUCCUUCAACCUUAACCAUCUUUUUGCAGUUUUCUGUGAUCUAUGCCUCUACUGACUGUGCAUGUGCCACCCAAGAGACGCCGAAGACAACGCCUCCAAGCCACCGCAACCAGAUCAAGCUAGAUCAAUCAAGGCUGCUACCAGACCGUGCGCACCAGUAGCUGCUGCUCCUCUGCCUGAGAAGAAGAAAGCUUCGCUGACAUCAUCCACCAAAGCCAUCGUAGUAGCUGGUGACCUGAAGCGCCUUCCCCGACCACCUGGAGACAAAGGAUCCAACCCAAAACGUCAUUGCCCGAAGGGUGGACAUGGACGCAACAAUCUUCGAUCUAUUGGGUAAGUGCAUAGAACACUUAAGUUUUGUUCUGUUUUCUUGGUUUGUUUCAUUGCAGCUAGAUGUUAGGUUUAGAUGCAUAUAUGUUCUAGAAUCUAGAUUUGUCAUAUACUAGCAGAUUUGUGGUUGGCUUGUUGCUCAGAUGAAUAGAAUAUUUGAAGCUUUAUUAGUAGAUCUAUACACUCUAUUUUGAGUAGUAUAUUUUGUAUUUACAAGUAUAUGGCAGCAGUAUAUUGCAAGUCUCUAUUUUUAGUGAUCUACAAUUAUAUUACUUGGAUAGGUUGCAAAAGAUGUCUAGUGCAAGCAGUAGCCAAGCUCCAGCGUCUCAUGGCUCAUAGCCUGAUUCUAAGUCACUCCCAGAAUCUAUUAAUGAAUCCGUUGCAAUUGAAAUAGAGGAUGACGAAGAGGUGAUUGAGGCACAAGAAGAGGAAGAAGAUGGUGUUGAGGUAGGCUCAAAGAGGAAGCUUACAUCGGUUGUUUGAAAGGAGUUUAAGAGAGUCAUGUGGAAUGGGCAAGUAAAGGCAAAAUGCAUGUACUGCUUUACCAAGCUUGGAGGAGAAACAAAAAGUGGAACUAAACACCUUCAUGAUCACUUGAAGAGUUGUUCACUUAGAAAAAUCAAGUUGUCAAGAAACAAGACAAUGUCACAGGCUUAUUUAAGGUUUGCUGCCCUAGAAAAAGGCAAAGUGUCAGUGGAGAACUAUACCUUUGACCAAGAUAUAGCUAGAAAUGAACUUGGGGCUAUGAUGGUGCUGCAUGAGUAUCCUUUAAGCAUGGUUGACCACGCUGGUUUUCGCAGAUUUGUACAUGCACUGCAGCCAUUGUUCAGGAUUGGCACCAGAAACACUCUAAGGUAUAUGGUGUGUAUUGUACUAUUAUUUCCCUUGUUGUGUGCCAUUAAAUUCAGUUCUGAAUUGUUGUUAUAUCAUUGUAGGAAGCACAUCAUUGACCAAUAUGAGUUGGAGAAGAAGAAAGCCAUUGAACACAUGGCUGGAAUUAAAUAUAGGGUGGCUAUCACAAGUGACAUGUGGACAUCAGACAACCAAAAGAGAGGAUAUAUGGCUGUCACAACUCACUUUAUUGAUGAAUCAUGGAACCUUAGGAACAUUAUCAUGAGGUAGCAACUUAUAGGUUAUAACUUAUGGAUCAAGUGUUAUUUGUGUCAUAUUGACUGCAUUUAUUAUUGUCUGGUCUUAACAUUUCCUAUUCUUGUACACGAUUAUUUAUGUUCCAAGUACUCAUACUCAUGAAGUCAUUGGUGAUGAACUUUAUGAGGUACUAGUCGAUUGGAAUCUUGAUGAGAAGGUAUCUACUAUCACUCUUGACAGCUGCACCACAAAUGACUCAAAAAUUCCUUAUCUUAUGAGAGAUUGGCAAAACCAAGCUCAUGUCUGGUGGAAAAUUCUUGCAUAUGCGUUGUUGUGCUCAUAUCCUUAAUUUGAUAGUAAGGAUGGAUUAGAAAACCUAAAAGAUGCUAUUGAAAACCUUCAUGAUAGUGUAAGUUAUUGGACAGCCACACCAAAAAGAUAUGAGAAGUUUGAGAAAAUAGCUAAGUAUGUAAAUGUUACCAUUACAAAGAAGAUAGCACUUGAUUGAAAAACAAGAUGGAACUCAACUUAUAAAAUCCUUAGUACUGCAUUGCCCUACAAAUCUAUUUUCAUGAGAGCAAGUCGUGUAGAUAAACAAUACACUUGCUGCCCUACUGAGGAAGAAUGGAAUUUUGCUGCUGAUGUUGUAGAAAGGCUUAAGAUGUUUAGUGACAUAUCUGACAUAUUCUCUAGGACUGAUUAUGUGACUUCAAAUAUAUUCUUCUACAAAGUUUGUGAGAUUAGAUGUAACAUUAGGGAAUGGUCAACCUGUGGUAACCCCUUGAUAGAGGCAAUGUCUUAUGACAUGGAAGCCUAGUUUAAGAAAUACUAGACUGAUAUUCAGGGGCUGAUGGGUAUUGCUACUUUGCUUGAAACUCGAUUCAAAUAUUACAUGUUGCUUCAUUGCUUUGAGGUGUUACUUGGUACAACUAGAUCAGACUGUGAGUAUGAGGUUGCAAAAGUAAAGGACUGUUUAAGUGAUCUAAUGAGUUAGUAUCAUUCUAAUGAGGAGAAGGUAGCACUAGUAGCAGCAAAGCAACUACAGUACUCAAUUCAAGUUUCUUGUCCUCCUUUAGUGCCCGUGUUGCAAGUACUGUAUCAUCAGCCAUGAGGUUUAGGUCUGAAUUAGAUCAGUACUUAGAGGAUGAGAUGGUUGACAUUCAAACCAAGGGAUUUGAUAUCUUGGACUGGUGGAAGGUUGCUGGAACACGAUAUCCAACAUUGAGAAUGAUAGCAAGGGAUAUUUUUGCAAUUCCCAUAACCACUGUUGCCUCUGAAUCUGCAUUCAACACCAGUGGUUGGGUCCUCAGUGAACAUCGCAGCAAGCUGACUUAAUUGUUGGAAGCUUUAAUGUGCUCGUAGGACUGGAUCCGCAACAGAUACAAAGGUAUAACUCAUAUGCAAUUCAUAGUUCAUAUUUCAUACUUCACUCCAAAUUUUAGCCAAAAAUAAUACUUCAAAAAUGUAGGCAUGGUUACUAAUGAAGGGCGACCUGCAAGCUUCUGGUCUGCUCUCCAAGAAGUUCAAGAAGGCCUUCAGGUGAGUUAUCGAACACCUAAACAGAGUUUAGAUUUUGCUUUUGCCUUGUCACAUAACAACAAAUUUCUUAUUUGUGUAUCUAUGUAGGAACUUACAAUUUAGGAGUGCAGACUGUUAGCUGACUAGGAUCAAGAUGGCAUGCUUGUGUAAUGUGCUCAUAACUCACUCAACAUUAAAUAUUAACAUAAAUAUUAACUAUUUAUGUAACCUUCUAUUGUAAUGAUUGAUGUGUGGUGACACCACUACCCUACUUUUGCUGAUUUUGUCAGCUUGCUAGAAGCCGAGGCCGCCAUAAAUUUGAUGUCGAUUUCAAAUCGUUGCUGGUUAUUUUGUAGGACUGUAAAGUUCUAAUCUAUAGACUUUAGUGGUUCUAGAGAAUUGAGGCCCUUGUUGUGAAGCCUGUGAAUCUGUGAUGUUACUGGAGAUUUAUGAACUAGCUAAACUAUUAAUUUGUAAUGAUUGAAGGUGAACUCUAUUAAUCUGCACUUGUGAUGUGCUGCUGGAGAAUUGAGACUAUUUAUUUGCUAUUUAUUUGUGUAGAAUUUACAUCUUAAAAUGUACAAUUCAUGUUAUACUUCUUGUUUAAUUGUUGUUAGCUAUAUGUUUAUUGGGGAUUUAUCGGGGAUGGGAAACCCGACAGGUACAAAUCCCCGUUGAGGACGGGGACAGGGAUGGGGAACGGGGAGUUUUGAAUCAGCCGGGGAGGAGAACGUUCCUUCAAAAGCCGGCGGGGAUAGCCCCGUUGCCAAUUUGAGUUGUAGCAGGAGCUAGAGCCAUAAGAAGAUGUACCAAAAAGAUCUUUAAUGUUCACACCGCUUUAGUAUAAGACAAAUUCUUGCACAGGUGUAUGAGCAAUACUUGUGGUGCAACUUGACUAUCACAUUUUUAGCUAAUUGUUCUUUCGAGUUUCAAUGGUAGAUAUUGUUGGUUGUUAGUGUUCUUAGAGGGAGUACUCAAAAUUGAGUGUGCAUGGGACACUUGAGCAUCUAUGUCCUUUUUCUCUCUAUCUAAAAUGGUUAUAACGUCAUCAUCUAUCCUCCACUUGGAGCUCACGCGGGUCCACCUCCUAUCCGAUUUUGAUAUGAAGAUCGGAUCCACGUGUUCGCAUCUGAAAAGUCCUCUGAACUCACGCGUCUUCAUCCGAAGGUUCACUCCAAGAUGAUGAGAGCCUCUCAUGUCGUCUUCUUCGACAAUCAAUUUAGUAAGGUCUCAUCCUUGUGAAACUAUAUCAAUUUUUAAAAAUUGAUGAUUAAAGUUAGAAAUAUUUAACUUUACUAACUAAAGUAAAAAGAAGGCGGAUUUCGAAAUAGUUUAGAGUUCUCAAUAUAAAAUUAUUUAUUAGUUUUUUAUUAUUUUCUGCAAAUCCUUUGUUAUAGGCGUGGACAGAAUUUUGUGACCCAGUGCAACGCACACAGACAUAUAACUAGUAGUUCUGAAAAAAAAAUAAGAGGAGGAGAAUUACUGGAUUCCAGUGCGUAAUUUUCUAUGAAAUCUGCAGUAGGGAAAAAAGAACUCCGUUACACAUCAACUUGUGUCCUCCACACUCUCCCUUGAUUGGGUGGGGGUGAAAGGAGAAUCUAACAAAUUCUAUUGCAUCAAGUUGUGUGUUUUCUAGCGAAAGGCAAGCAUGCUAAAGUUUUGUCGUGUUAGCUAAUCACGCCAUUAGGUUAGGAAUUUCUGGUGGAGCCCCCUGGCUGAGGGCAGGCAGGAACCCUUUCAAGUAGCCAGCUCUCGGAAUCCCGAAUUUCCGAUACCUCGCGCACGCACACACGCUUUCCCUGAUGCAAUGCAAGGAUUCGCUGCAGAUGAGAUUCUCGAUCGCGGGGCGCCGGCCGCCUUUCUCCCCUGUCCCCGGAAGACACAGCUCUGUUCGCCGGUGGGCCGCAAAGAACCAUUUCCACCACCAAGUUGGGCGUGGCAUCUACCAUCCGCGCAGUCCGCAGGACGGCGUCCAGGCCUUUUGAGGGGAUUCCGAUUUACCAUAUCUACCUGACUUGGAAAGCAGAUGUAUCCACUUGUGUGUCUUGUGUCUCCUAAUAAUGGAUGAAAAUCGUAAUGGCAUCUUGUGAGCGCAACAAGUUCACUGUGGAAAUACUAUACUUAAUUCUCUCGGGAAUUCGAAAAAGGAAAGAGUUGAGAUGUAGUGACUGGGUAGUUUUUUUUGAUAAGGGUAGUGAAUGGAUAGUUGGAUAUCAUCCAAUCCAACAACUAGAGCAGUGAACACUCUUCCUAGCAACAGUGGGCAUGCAAGCUAACAAAUGAAAGCAUUCAUGAUUAGGCCACAUAUAAUAGAAUCGAAGAACUAAUCCAAACUAUUGAAAAGAAUUAUCUAGAAAGAUUUCUAGAGAAUUCAAUUGAAUCAUGAAAAUAUGCCAAAAAAAGAAAAAAGUUCCAAAAAAAUUAAUGUAAUUAAGAUCAGAACUAAAGUAAACAAAUAACCUCUAUUAAGAGUAUCUCCAAGAGUAUCCUAUUUUCUCCCGAAAAACACAUUUAGUUUUGCAACUCCUAAAAAGGUAUUGGGAGGAAAAAAGAAGAUCAUCUCCAAGAGUUUCCAAUAAUCCAUUCCUAAAAUAUAGAAGAUAAUUUUACAUCAAGAAUCAUAUACUAUUUCUAAAUUAUCAUAACCACUUUUAUAUAUUCUUUCUCUCUCGUACAUUUGCAUCAGGAACCCUUUCCUACUCUCUAUUCUUUCUCACACCCUUUCACCUUUAGAUUGACCAAAAAGACAACGUGAGGAGGAGCAAUGCGCACAAGAAAGGCCACACAUAUUUUUACACACGAUGCCGACCUAUUUGCCAAUUGCCAAAAGAUGGGGAAGGGAUAUGAGUUACUCUUAGAGAUGAAUUUUUCUCUUUUUUCCCCCAAAAACAUGGAUGGAGAAGGGAUAUGGGGUACUCUUGGAGAUGCUCUAAUGUUGUCAUUAGGACAAAAGAAUUAAACUUAAUCAAGGGAAUAUUUUUUAGAUACCGACAAAAGAUCUAUAAAAUCAUGAGAAUAUAUUAAUCCUAGCAUGCUAGAAUAUAAAAGGCCUAUAUGUAUUAUUUAAACCCAUUACAUCUGUUUACAUAGCUCUAGAAGGCUAGAAUAUAUCAUAAGUCUUUUUGCAACUCACAAGGUCUAUGUGAUCUCACAAGGUCUAUGUGAUGAAAUAUCUAUAUAUCUAGCUAUUGUAUAGUAAGACUAUUGUUCAAUUUAAGUCAUUUUCAAUGUGCAACCCAUACCCUUUGUAUUUUUUUAGUGUUUUUAACAGAAAAGGAGGGGUUGAAAUGAAAUAAACCAUAAGAAAAACAAUACAAUAGAAAUAACAAUGGUUAAGACCUUCAAGCAACAAAGAAAGAACAAAAAGAUGAACUUAGUUGGUUCUCACUUUAGAUAUUUCUAUAAUUUUUGUAGUGAAGAUUUCAUGAGUAAAUGAGCAGUGCAUGCAAUGAUGUUGCAUAACAUAUUUUGUUGUGCACACGGUUUAAUUAGUUUUCCUAGUUGUGCACAUAGUUUAUUUCUCUAGAUCCAAGACAUUCAUGUGACCUUAUUUGCAUUCAUAGUAAUACAUACUAUUUGUAUAGAGAAAAUGUAUUAAUGGGGGAGAAAUAUCGUACCUUGGUUCCAUCAGGGCAACUCUACUACUCCAAUAUGUUUGAUGUGCUGAAGAUGAAGAGAGAAAAAGUGAGUGAGAUGCAAUGUGGUGCAAAGGUACUAUAGCUAGAAUUGCUAUGAAACUAUGGUUUGUUUGGGCAUCAGUGCAAAGAAGAAAAAAGUAACUGAUAUCAAAGUACGUAGUCAAGGUGGAGGAAUGCUAAAAGUUAAGAAAUGUAGGAGAGAGUUUUUUCUCUCACAACAAAUUAGCAUCAGCAGCGGCAACCGAAAUUCAGCGAGAUAUUUCCAUGCAAGCGGCCAGAACUUGUCCAAUAGUUUGUGUUGGUUAUAAAAUUAGCUCCAUAUGUCUUUGCCACUAAUGUUGUUUGGUAGUACCUCUCAGUGCUUCUAGUACUAGUUGUGUGCUAUCCAUUUGGACAGUUAUAUUUAUAGAUAAAGAAAUUUUGCCAAAAAACAAUUUUGCAUAUCCUUAUGUAACCUAGCUAACUCAUUAUUCUCUAGCAAAACUAGUGACAUGGCAUCAAUUUAUGAGGGGAGAGAAGAGUUAGUGUUCAUCAAGAUGAAACCUGGUGUACACAAUUACCAAGACUAUAAAAACUAGAAUGAAACUCUACUGAGAGCAACUUAUUUCAUCUCUAAACCUUUUUCAUUGAACAUCACUAACUUUAAAUGUUUUUGGCUAGUCUAUAAAACUAUGAAAUGAAAUUUUUCAUUGAGAGAGGUCAUUUCUUUAUUCAUCAUUAUAAACCUCUAAAAAUGAUGUAGCAGUAGAAACCAUGUCAAGAAACCCUCCACUCUCGUCUCAUGAUUACCAAAUAGACAAGUUCAUUUAUUAGCAUUAUUGCACCAAUUUUUCAUAAUUUACAUUGUAUGUAUAGGGGAUGAAUAGGUUCAAAUAGAUUGAAGUUUCGAGAAUAUGAGCACAGAUUAUUGAUUAAGAAGGCUCUAACUCAGUACCAUAUACUCCACUACUCCAUCUUGAUAUGUUUGCAUUUUCUAAUCCCAGUGGUAAUAUCAUACGCAACAAAUGACUGGCACAUAGGAAUAUUAGCUUACACAACAAUCAAGUAAUGUGGACAGAGAGAAAAAUGUUAUAUCCUGGUUGUGAUACAAUUUGGGUAUGAAAUAAUCAACCAUUGGAAAACCGCAUAGCAGCAUUUGGGUUGAGUUGUUGCAUUUGAUACUAUAUUUAGGUCCAUUUUUCAUAGACACAACACAUACAAUAAAUAGCUAUCAUGGUAUCCUAAGAAACUACAUCAAGACACUAUGCAUUGAAAGAAUAGUAUCAUUUGUAUACUCAUAUAUGACAUGGCGGCUUUAGAGAAAAUGACAUGUUACAAAAAAAUAGAAUUAUAGCUUAAGAAAUGUAAAGGUUAUUUCUCAUUGCUGCACAUAUACUAGAAGUUACGGUUCAAAUGGGAGGCUGCCCCCAAUGCUCCGUUCAAUACACAUCAGCUAAACCCGAAAAAUAUUAGCUAUAAAAUACAAUCAUCUUUGUGUGAUGCGGUGGCAUACGACUUUCUAUGACGAAUAUUCCAUGAGUGUACAGGUAUACUAGUUGUACCCAUAGUUGUCAAAUAUCGAUUCUAUGUGUGCGGUUUAGAAUCUAUAGUUUUACAAUUCUAGUAGUUAUCUAUACCUAAUAAUAAAUUGUGAAAAUUUCAGUCUACCAUAUCUUUAUAUGUUCACUAGGCCUUUCAUCAGUGUCCGUAUUUAUAUGACUAUAUAGGACUAUGUUUCUCUUUUUGGAUCUGGUUUCUUAUUAUUUUUAACUUAUUUUUUGUUUAUGGCACAAGAACUUCUGGUCCCAUAGGGUUAGCGGGAAAAAAAGAAAGUUAUAAGCUGAAUCUAACUCGGAAGCCUAACACGAGUUUAAACCAAUUUUAAACCGAAACAAGCGAAUAGUUAGACUCAACUAAAAUCCAAAACAGAGUUCGACCAAAAUUAUCUUUAUUCUUAUAAGAAAAGAUAUAAUUACUUCAAAGAAAAAAAAGUCACGGACACCACCGGGGGAGGGGGAGCGACUCUUUUAGACCCAAGGUACGCAACACCUAUGAGCCGGAGAGAAAAAAUAAAGUAAAGACAAAAACAAAAAUAAAGAUCCAAUCCAAACUAAGGUAAUCAUGCUGAACUCGGACAGAACACUGGUGAUUGGAAAAAAAAAGUGAAGACGAAAAAAAAGAUCCAAUCUAAACUCAGGCAAUUAUGGUGAACUCGGAGAGAACACUGGUGAUUGGCCGCACGAAAAAAAAUUAGGUGCCAUAAAUUUUGGCUUUCUAUUAUUAAGGAGGAAUAGAUUACGAAUCUAGAGUUCAGUUCCUGAUUCAAUAUGUUUUGGAAUCGAACUCUAUAUCAUGCUAGACAAAAGCUAUUCUAACUUGUCGAAGUAUGGGCUAUAUAUAUAAGUCUGGAUAGAAGAAACUCUUCAUUGUCCGGUAGCUAAAGAGAGACGUGCCAAAAAAAGAUGGACGAAAAAAAACUUGAAAUUUUGGUUCUUUAUUAUUAGGUAUAGAUAUAAGAAGAAGAAGGAACUACAGAUUAAGACUUUGAUUUUUUUUGCCUCCGAUUCACAUCUAACUAAAUAAAGAAAGCGGAGCAAAAUAAAAAACACAAUUCUUAUCCUUUUCUAUUUAACUAUUAAGAGUUCUUUUUAAAAUACUUAGUAUGUGAGGAAUCUAUUUAUAUUGAGACUCCUACUCCAUAAUGGUUUAGACGCAAGUUAUUCUAAGUUGUAUGAGCACGGGUUAUAUAUAUAAGUUUAGAUAAAAGAAACUCUCCAUCGUUCGGUAGUUAGAGAAAGACAAACAAAAAAAUAGAUGGACAAAAAAAGCAUAAAUUUUUGCCUAUUUAUUAUUAGAUAUAGAUUAUAUAUAAUUAGAUAAUAGAGAUAUAAAUAUAGGUUUGAUAGUUUUUUUUUCUCCCGUUGCAACGCACAGGCAUUUUUGCUAGUAAUUCUAUAAUUUUUGAUACCAUCAUUCGAGUUCUGAUCCAAUUUAGGAUCAUGACUUUAACAACUUUGGUUCCACCAUAAAUAAUCUCUUUUUUAUUACACAGUACGCACAACACAGGUGUGCACACUUACCCUUAUGAACGCACAUACCAUUAUUGGUUUAGGAUUGAGAAGAUGUUUUCUCCAAUUUUAUUGCAACUAUGUGUGUGCUCUCUUAAAUUACCUAAACUACCUUUGACAAUUUGGUUGUUAAACCUCCGGUCAAAAGAGCAUUUAUGACACUACUCUUUAUACGGUUAUAACGUUACAAAGAUAUAAAUGACAGCCAAAGUGAUAUAUACUAUUUGAGGGCAUGUUUUUUGGUGAAUAGAGUGUAGAUGUAUCACGUACCAUUAUCGAAGAACAAUACCUUUAGUUAAAAAAAACGAGCACACCAAGUCAAUAAAGUAUACCUAACCAAUGGAUGAUCUAUACUCAAUUCACAAUUAUUAGUAUUUUAUAUUGAAAAGAAUAUGAAUAUAUUUAUGCGUUCGACAUGCAUAGACUAACUUGUGGCUAUUUUUUUUAUAAUAUUUUUAAUUUGCAUUAUUAUAUGGAAUUUUAAAAUAGAAGGGAUACAUUUACGCUGGAUAUAACAAGUCGACAAGCUGGUCCAAACAACAGUUAUGACUUACAGUUAAGACAGUACAAAAAUACAAAUUAAAGACGUGUGACGGGUCAAAGUGACAUAUACUCUUUUCCUACGUAGUAUAUACUACGUCAAGGGGUCAGAAGGCCACCCUGACCAUCCUUUGGAAUGGUUAAUUCCUUUGGCGCCAGUUGGAGACUGAAGAAGGCCACCUGGCGUUCUUAAUUAAACCCAGCUCACGGAUCCUAUAAAUUGGAACCCUCGCGGCUCGGUAGUGCUCCCACCGCAAACCAUUUCAAAACCUUCCUUAUUUCCUUGCGCCGGCCGGUUACAUCAUCACUCUUGACGCACAAACCGUCCGAUCCGCCGUUCCAAACGCAAACAAACAGCGCCAUGUCGUCCAACUCGUCGGCGUCGUCGUCUGAGUGGACGAAGCCGCAGCACAAGCUGUUCGAGCGCGCCCUGGCGGUGUACGACGCGGACACCCCGGACCGGUGGCACAACGUGGCGCGCUACAUGGGCGGCGGCACGUCCGUCGAGGAGGUGCGCCGCCACUACCAGCAGCUCGUCGUCGACGUCGCGCGGAUCGAGUCCGACGGAGUGCCCUUCCACUGGUACGCCACCGCCCCGCCGCCGUCGACGCUGCAUCGAGGUAUGCAUGUAGUAACGACUGAACACUGCCGGCGUCGUCGUCCUCCCGUUAAUUUCUUGCCCUUAUUCGGCUAUUAAGUACUCUUAUUAGUUUUGGAGCAUGCGACAUGGCGUAAUAAAUUUAAUCAUUCAUGACGUCAACUAGAUGGACGCAGAGCAGUAGCUGCUGUGUGCCACUACCCACAUGAGAUCUGAUCCUUGGACAGGAGUACAGGACAGAUAGUUCGUGUGUGUGCAUGCUUGAAACGGCAAAGUACCAUGAGAUUAGUCCUAAUCAAUUCGCGUUGCCUGCUUAAAAGACUCUGCAUUGUGUCUGUCAUCAUGCAUGCCACUGGCGUUGCUGCGAUAAUGUUUAAAUACUGUUUAGAUAACCGACCAUGCUGUUAAUUCCGAUGGUAGAUUGGUACGACAUGUCAAGUUGCAUUGGCAACUUUGGCUUUAAAUUUGGCUGCUAUAAUUGACUAGAUAGUACGUACUCAUUACGCGUAAGUAGUAGAUCCUGCCUCGACAGUCGGCAGACACAUUUAUUCCUGGUAUAUUUGGUAGUACUUCACAGAAUAUACAAUGUUAUCACCAGUCAUCAUGCUGGAAAAUAUGCAUACUCGAUUCAGUACUAGAUUCGGUACGUUGUUCAAUACAGAGACGCAAAAUAUGCAUAAAGUUCCCUCGAAAAGAAUAUGAAUAUACUCCAUGUGUUCAUGAAAAAUAAAAAGUUAUGCGUAAGAAGACUGCUUUUUAUGUACUGACUGAAGACAAAAUGAGAUUAUGUAUGCAAAGGAGAAGUGAUCGAAAUAAUUCUCAUGUCCCCUAUAACUUGGUUGUAGGUUGAAAUAUCUGAAUGAAGCUUCAAUGAAGGGAAGGGUUAAACAGUGGCUAGCUGUGCUCUUUGAAGAAGAUCUAUAAAUCAUGCAUGUAAAUGUGCAUGUGUGUAUGCUGAUUGCAAAAUGUUAUACCAAGAAUCCAAGUUAAAUACUGCAGCCUGCUGGUCUUUGAUCUUGUAUACCAAGUAGUUAGCUUUUCGAGAUCUAUGGAGCGAUAUGAAUGCUUCAUGUAUAAGUUCUGGUCAUGUACUGCUAUCGAAAUACUGUGAAUCAACUAAGGAAUUAUUCCCAUGAAUCUCUCAGCAUUUGCAAACUCCAAGAAUGCCAUAUAUACACUGUUUCAAACAUUCCCCAAUCCGGCCGCAUUCUACUACGAAUAUAUGGUGACUCUGGCAGGCUGGCGUAUCGUGCCAACGAUGUGGGGCCGAAAGCACCAUUGCCAACACAUAACCUCGCGUCCUCGCCUAUUGCACCAACCAGAUGAAAGCAUUGAAUACUUUUUUAUUCUAGAGCUAGAGAGGCACCUAAACUAGAACUUACACUACUGAAAAAAAACUAUGCUCUCUAAAUUGUGCUCCCUAUCUUUGCACAGGAGGUUCAAAUUCCGGGCUGUGCUGAUUAUACGGCGAAGGCCGCCGGUCAAAUGCCACAUGUGUGGAAAUGGAGUUCUUCCAUAUAGGCAAUUCCUUAAGAUAUCCACCUGUGGUAACUCGCUGAUAAGAAUGACGACCUUAGUAAAGAUCUGAGUAUGAUCAAGCUAGGAGAGAGGGAGUGAAUUCAGUUACUGAUGAUAAUUUUUCUACACUAGAUAAAUAAAAUUACCAAAUUAGUAAGAUGUGCACCGAGGGUUUAUAACACACAACCCAAAGCAUAAGUGCAAACACAUGGUGGAUAUGUGCCCAUAUGUGAUUGUCAAGGUGGAUCAAAGUUUUGGUUUAGUGUACGUGAGACUAACUAUGGUAUGAGUAAAUUAUUGUGUAUGCAACAUGUCUCUUUGGUAUGUGAUGUGCAGGUGUUGACCGUGAGACAGUCGCAGCAAUAGAAGGUCAAGACAUGAGUCCGUGCACGUUAGACUAGGAGCGGUCAAGGGGCGAACACGGUGGCUUGGACUGAGGGACCUAGGACUGGAGGAUGGACCAUGAAUGACUAUCACUUGGACACAUAGAUAAGCAAGUGUACGUGAAGGUAUGGUGAUGGAGACGAUGUUGGCCAAAGUCAAGAAGACGACCAAACCAAGUCAAGGCAGACGCAUUUGGUGAUGGGAUGGUUGAGGAUGAGUAGGAGACACUUCCACAUCGUGGAGAAGGCCUAGCGGCCAAGAGACUCCACAUGGGUUUGGCAGUUUGGGCCUCAAAAUAGCGGGUGACAGGUUUGCUAGGUUUGGGUCUCAAAACCCAAGGAGGAUCUUGGGGCGGCAUAUGGCAUCAUGGCAGAGCUUGCAUCAGGACAAAACAACUUCAUGAAGCACACAGUCGUUCCCAUGCUUGAAAACUAAAUUGGACCAUUUCAUCGGUGACAAAGUGGCUUAAGACUAAACCUAAGGACACUCUUGAAAUUGUAUUUAAUUGUCUUAUAAAUAAGGAUAGUGGCUAAGUGGUUGAAGACUAAACCUAGGGGAGACUAUGAUUGGACAACAUUUUCUAUUUUCUUAUCUUUUAAAUUAUUAUGUCAGGGUCGUGACUUGGGUGGUCACCGGCGGCAGUGCUGGGGGCGGUGGCGCAGGGGAGCAGGGGCGGCGGUGUGUGACUAGGGCAGGGGUAGGAGCGGCGGCACGAGAGAGAGAGAGAGAGAGGAAGAGCUUUCACUCAUUUAUUUCUUGAUUGAUGCGGUUACAUGUCCUUUAUUUUUUAUAAUCCCUAUUGGACUUGGCUCACAAGCAAAACAAGGAGAUCCUUAUCGAAUAUAGAUUCUCCUUUUCAUCAAUCAACUCUUAUACUUUCUAUCUUAAUAAUCUAUUUCUAAAAUCAACUAAGACUAGAUAUGGCAACCGAACAUGAUACGGAAGGAAACAGCGGCAACGGCAGCGGUGGCAGCGCCUUGCCUAGGGCAGGCCACCAGGUCCCCAAUGGCGCCAUCAAGGGUGGUGGUGCCCCUUGUGGGUCUCUUAUGGCCCGUUCUUGCCAUUGACAGUCACAACCCGUAUUGGGUGUGUGACAUGACUCCCCCCUUGUCCACUCAGCGCGUCCUCAUGGCAAAAUACGACCUGGUCAUCAACUCCAUCAAGUGGCAGAGCUCCUUGGCCUAGAUGAGGCAUACGAUGCUUCUAACGAGUGGAUUGGCAAGGAUUAUAUUUUCCCUUGUCUUGAGCAGUGCAAAUUCGAAGGAGUACUGGAGGUUGUCGAUAUACAAGGUGGUAGCCAAUUGUGCCCAUAUCAGAGCCUGUGUGAGAGUCCAUGUGUGCAGCAAGUAGAAGAGGACAUGGUACCGAUGCAGUUAUGUCAAGAUGGAAAAUCAAUCAUGGAGGAGCCAUGAAGUUGUGAAUGUGGUUGUUGAUGUCAUGGUUGAUGGAGAAUUGAAUGUGGUGCCAAAUAGUUGUCUCUGAGAGAGCUGGAGGAGAGGUCGUGAGAUUGAGCAUUGAGCCAAAGAUGAAAGUUCCCAAAUUGAAAGUGUCUGGUGACAACCGUUGAACGUCUAUUCAUGGAAGGAGGCCAAUGUCGAUGUUGUCAAUAUGGCUAAACAGAUAGUGAAAGGUCCUAAUAUGGCUAGAAGGGGGUGAAUAGCCUAUUAAAAAAAUCUACAAAGCACUAGAGCAAAGAUUAGUACAUCAAAAGGCAUAAUGGAAUUUUGCUCUAGCUCUACAAGGGUUGCAAGCCACCUAUCCAACAAUUAUAGUUUCUAAAAUCACUAGGCACACAAGAGUUAGGUUACUAAAAGCUAAACUAGUGAACUAAGCUACACAAAGAAAAGUAAGCAAUUAAAACUAAUUACACUACUUUGUGGGAAUGUAAGAGGAGAGGAUGUGAUCUUUAUACUGUCUUGUAGGGGAUGAACCAAUCAUCGAUAUGUGAACAAACAAUCACCGGGAGAAUGCCAAUCAAUGACAAUUAAGACACCAACUUUUUCUUCUAAGGUUCAUGUGUUUGCCGGCACGCUAGUCCCCAUUGUCUCAAACAACACCUCGUGGUUCGACGGCUAAUUGGGAAUCCACACCCAAGCUCUCCAAGAGCAUCGCAAGAACCUAACGCAAGUGAGGUAGUUCAAUGACACAAGCAAUUUACUAGAGUUGGUGCUUCGUCGGGGAAGGCACAAGAACCCCUCAUGAUCAUCGGGAGAUAGCCACGAACAAUCACCAACUCAUACCAAUGCUCCUCCACUGCUCCAAGCCAUCUAGGUGGCGGCAACCACCAAGAGUAACAAGAAAACCAUAGCUCAAACGAUCCCCAAGUGUCACUAAAUGCAAUCGCUCAAGCAAAUGCAUAUGGAAUCACUCCCAAUCUCACAAAGAUGGUUAAUCUAUGAAGGAGAUGAGUGAGAGGUGUUUGCUUAGGCUCACAAGGAUGUCAAGUAUAUCAAAGUGCCAAGAGGCACACCCAAGAGCUGGCCAACUAGUAUUUGUAAGCCCUCUCUACUAGAGCCAUUGGGCUCCUGAGGCUUGCCCUAUUAGGGGCAUCAGACAUGGCCUCAGCAUCCGACGGUCUCCUAAUAGGCUCACUAAUUGCUGCCACAUGUCCUACGAUGAAUGUGACCCGUUGAUCUCCAAGGUCACUUAAAUAUUUGAGUUCUCAGGUAUAACAUGUUGGAUGCGUUAGGUGCAACACACUGGACGUGUCACUUACACACCGAACGCUACUCAGGGAGCCUUACAAAUGUGUAGGGGUGUUGAGCGCAUCCGACAGUCACUCAUCGAACGCUCCUCAGCGUCCAACACGCUUAGUCAAAAACAGCUCUCUCACGCGCUCGGUGAUGUCACCUACUAUAGUGCGAGUACCGGAGUGUCCGAUGGCAGAGCAUCGAACGCUCUGACGCAUGGUCCACUCACACACUGCGGCACUUGAAUGCACCAGACGCUGGGUCAGCAUCUAACGCUAUCUAGUCUAGCAUCUAGUGAGUGUUUCGCAGCGAGUUACUCUCGCAAAUUCUCCGAGACUUUCCUUCGGCGCAAUAGAAAAUAUGCAUUUUAUUUUCUCAAAAGUGUUGAAUCCCUCUCUAUCCUUCAAACUCCACCUCCUUCUCAAGGUGUGCCAACACCCUACCAUGUGUGUACCAAUGUGUGCACAUGUGUUGGCAUUUUCACAAUCAUUUUCUUCGAAGGAGUUAAUUUAGCUCAUUAGGUUCUAAAUGCAUACACAUAAACGUCACCUAAUGGCACUCGAUAACCACUUAGCCAAAGAUUUCCCCUCUUUAUAGUAUGACUAUCUAUCCUAAAUAUGACCACACCCUCCAUGGUGUCUUGAUUAUCUAAACCAAAACCCUAAGCAAAACUUUUUUCUUGAUCUCCAUAGAGUUUUGUUUUUCUCUUUCUUCUUUUUCAAGUUGAGCACGUGAUCAUCUUGUGGUCGUCACCAUGAUCAUCUCUACCAGCCUUAUCUAAUCUACACACUUAGCAUGAAGGUUAGUACUUUGGCUUCAUCAAUUAUCCAUAAUCAAACUUAGACUUUUAGAUAGCCGAGGUUGUCAAGGAAGACUACUAUGGCACUUGUAAUGGAUUGAUGAAGUAACCAUGGGUAGCCCAUCAGGAUGUGCAUGGGCAUCCCGUUGAGCUAUCCUUUAGCUGAUUGGGGACUAUGCGCUCCCACAGCUAACAGCUCUAUGUUGGCCAACCUACCGCAUCGAAGACCUUGUAGAAGAUCUAGAAGCUAUGGUGACGCUGCUGGUAGGUAGAAACAAUUCGUCGAAGAAGAUAAGAUCCCUCUACAUGGACCAAUCCUUGGUGGCCUGACCUUGUCCAAUAGCUGUGGUGAUGACACAGAGGUCGUGGUGAUCCCUAACACCCUAAUGCAUAUAGGUGAAGAUGAUGUCACCUAGGUUAUCGAUGUUGUCAAGGGCAUUGGGUAGGUGAGCACAUUGAGCCCUGUUCAUCACAGUAUGUGGAACAUGUGUUGUAGAUGUCCAGGAUAUACGUAGCAUUGGUUGAUGUGUUGGAAGUGCUAGGAUUGUUGUCGGUGCUUGUCGACGAGGCAUUGUGUGUAGUCUGUAGGGGUGCCCAUUGCGGAAGUAGAGUAGCUCCAUGGUGGUGAAGUCCCAAGUAAUGCACCCAAGGCUAGUUAGCCAAGGCAUGCUGAGCAUGACGUAGAAGUUGUUGCCAAUGUCAAGAAGGAGGACAUCAAUACGGAAGAUGUCAUUGCCAAUGUGUAUCGAUAUAUUGAAAGAAGCACUAUGACAUGGUACCUCGUUCCCACUAUCGACGAUGAAGGUGGUGUAAAUCUCAUGCUCCUGGAGGCCAUUGGAGUGAGCAAAAUUGGUACCGAUGAUGUUGUACCAGUAUGAGGAUGCCUUCACCAUGGAGCAUCCUAUCUAGAUAGAAGGGUGGGGUGCCCUGUACCCCUGACUACUGCUUGCCAAUGAUCAUCAUGUACAUUUGUUGUCAGAUGGUGCCACAACAUCUGCUGCUAGUAAGGGUGACGUCGAUAGUGGUGGUGGAGGAAGGUUUGUUAAUGUCAAGAUAGCCAUCUUGCUAGUCUCGAUGAUGUCUAUCAGCCUCCGUUCGUAUCCAACGCUUGAUGAAGUCGCAACUGGCUUUCUCCAUGGUGGCUCGUGUAGAUAUCUCUAGACUCGCAGUGAGGAGCUCCUUCUCUCAUAUCACUACAAGAAAUUCUCUUAUACAUGACAGUUUACUUUCGUCACGGACAAGCAAAAAUGCGUCAUAGUUAACUCGUGAUGACGAUCGCAAAAAACGUCAUGUAUCCCGCGUCAUACAUUUUCAGGACCGAAUCAAACCGUCACAGGUUGGUAUUUCUAUUCGUCAUGGAAUAACUGGUCAAUGACAAUAGAUCUAGGCUAUAGUGACGAAAAAGAACAUCACAGACUAGUGCAAAUCAUCACUGCUUAACAUACAUCAUGGCUCAUAAGAUACAUCAGUCAUAUAAACAAACAUUGAUCAUUCAUGUAUUAGCAAGCUCACUGUUGUACAUUGUCACAUUUUAUGAAACAACAAACUGGCCUGGCACGGCUCACAAUCAUUUAUCAAACAAUGAACUAAUUUAACUCAUAACAACUAAGUUUGAACUUUAUGACAAUCAUCUCUAGGGAGUCUAAAAUAACUAAACAUUCGUAUCGCCGAGCACUUCAAUUGGCUUGUUGUCCAUAAGAUGUGCUACGUGAAAGUCAAAAUGCAUAUAAGAUAAAUCAGUUUUCAGCAAAAAUUCUAAAGCAGUCCAAUGCAUAUAUUUUUAGAGCCCAAUUAGUAGAGCACGAGAGUCUAAAUAUCAAUUCAUAACUAAGUUCAUAUUUAUCAAAGGCUGCAGCUUACUGGUGCCUACAGCAUGGUCGAUUUGACAAGAGAAAGCACUGUGUAGUUCUAUCAGUCCUCACCAUCAUUAAUUUAUGCAAUUCAAAUAACUGAUUCCUCUGCAUCGAAAUCAUACAACACAAAAAAGAAAAAAUAUCCAAGUGCUGCUGAUGUUGUACCCUGUAUUGUAUCCUGACAAACUGACGUUGAACAAGCAGAAUAUGAGAUUAGGAACACACUGCAUGCAUCAUAUACAAACCGUCAUAGAUUAGGACUUUCUAUGACAGUUUUUUAAAACGUCAUCCCUAAACCGUCACGUAUAAUGAUUUUUCUUGCAGUGUAUGAUUUCCAUGGUGGUGUCGAGCAUCUAGCGAUCCUCCACAAAUUUGGAGAGGCGAGUGUUGAUGUUAGUGAGCUUGUUGUAGACGUUGUUGAACUUGGAGUGGACAUCCUCGAAGAAGUCAUUGAAGAGCCGACGGAUCUCCGUAGCGUUAGUCAUGGCAAUGAUGAGUGAAUCGAACUGGUCUCCGGAUACUAGGUGUCAGGGCCGUGACCGGGAUGGUCACCGGCGACGGUGCUCGGGGCGGUGGCGCUGACAAGGGGGUGGCGACGCAAGGUAACAGGGGCGGCGACGCGCGGCUAGGGUAGGGGCAGGGGGCAGUGACGGUAGGAGAGAGGGAGAGGAAGAGCUUUUGCCCGUUUAUUUCUUGAUGCGGUUACAUGUCCCUUAUUUUUAUAGUUCAUAUUAGACUUGACUCACAAGCAAAACAAAGAGAUCAUUAUCAAACACAGAUUCUCCUUUCCAUCAAUCAACUCUUCUACUUUAUAUCUUAAUAAUCUAUUUUCAAAAUCAACUAAGACUAAAUAUGGCAACCGAAGAUGAUACGGAAGGAAAUGGCAGUAACAGCGGCAGCAGUGACGGCGCCCUCCUGGUGGCCCCCCUGCCUAGGGCAAGCCAUUAGACCCCCCAAUGGCGCCAUCAAGGGUGUUGGUGCCUCUCUUCCAGCCUGCUCUUGCCAUCGACGGUCACAAUCCAUAUUGGGUGUGUGAUAUAUUUUCUUUUCAAAAUUAAGGGCUCAGAUUUAUUAAGGUCUUACCAAGCAAUCGGAGUACCAUAGCAAAUGAGAACACAUGUAAUGCGCAGCUGUUGAUGGACGCAGUGCAGACACCAACAACACUAACCACAAAUGAUUAUGAUGCAAUUGUAGUGGAUGUUUUUUAAUUGCAGAGAUAAAGUCAGUGUGGUCUUGUUUUAUUAGUUUUGAGUGCUCUUUUACGAGUAGGCGUUGUAACAAAGCCGCUUAUGAUCUGGCUGUGUUGGGUCAUUUGUGUAAUCCUGGCCUUAGGGAAGAACAAGUCACGAAUCCCAUCCCUAAAGUGUCCAUGUAAUUGUUGCUAUCAAUUUGUUAGCCGAUGAUAACGCAACUUGGCCUAAAAAAAUGGAAAAUGGAAUAGAAUCUGCAAUUCUCAUGGUCCAUCGCAUGGCCGCUCGCCCGCUCCAAGGAUCAUCAGGGCUCUGGACUGGACUGGCCGGCAGCAAGUUGUAACAAGCAUUUGCCCCCAGGAUUUUUGUUUAUUUGUAGUGCCUUUCUCAUAACUCGAGGCCCUAUAUGUACAUUGGGUAAGGAUCUAAUAAGCUGAUGAUGUACAUGUAGAUGAAGCAAAAAAUCUCUAUGGCCAUUUUCAGAAACGGUCAUGAUUAAAGCAAACCAUUAUACAGAUGCGGAUGAGCACCCAACCUCUAAAAAUUGUUUUUGGCCACCUUUUCUGUAAAAAGAUUUUCAUAGUAGUGUCUACUAGCAUGUAAUGGGUAGAAAUAAAAAUGUUGAUGUGUAUAAUGAAUUGUCCGCAUUCUGUCAUUUUUAGCUUUUGUAUUGAAUUAGUCAAUGCAUGUGGCUAAAUAUGGUAUCGGAGACAGAGGUAUCUUGAAUUCGAUAUAUAUAAUUAUAAUAAGUUCUAUUUGUACAUUUUAGGUCUAAAUGAUGAGUGUCCUUGUACAUUUUAGGUUUAUCAAGCCCACAUGAGUUCGAUUUCCUUUGCUUAAUUUUGAAUAGUCUAAAAGGGAGAAAUGGACACUAUAUUAGAUUCAGGAUAGCAGCGUAGAAUCUAGAAUACCGAGCUGAAAGUUUGGAAAAGGGUCAAAGAAAAAAUUAAAACACCCGAAUCCCUGAUGGGCCUUCAAUAGAUAUUAUUCUAUUUUGGACAUAAAAAAGCAAGAUAUAGAUUCUAAUACACAAGAGCCCACUUUCUGGUUAUGGAAUAUACUGUUCUGCAACUUGCUGUUUGGCCGGAGAUUAUUCCAACUCAGUGCAUGGUGGACGGAAUAAUUAAAAAUGUAGUUAAGUUAGUAUAGCUAUACAUCUGUACGUGUUAUCACACAUUCACACGCCAUAAGUGUGUGGUUGCGCACUCUAAACCUUGUACAUAUGCUCUACUGCUAUGAAAAAGGCUGUUUUUUUCGUUGCCAUUGAUAUCUACAGAUUGUCACUACCAGAAAACUAAGUAUCCUUGAGGGCCAGCAAUUUCCUUGAGGGGUGAAAUUAAACCCCCAAGGAUAUACAAUUACCUUGAGGGUUGUAUAAAACCUCCAAGAAAAUACAUAUUAUUGAGUGCUAAAUCAAACCACCAAGUUAAAUCUGUAUUUCCUUAUGUGCUAGUUGAAACCGCCAAGGUAAUUCUAUGUUUCCUUGAGUGUUAUUAUAAACCACCAAAGAUAAUUCACAUUUCCUUGGGUGUAACUAGAAACCGCCAAGGAAGUUCUAGUUUCUUUAGGUGUAAACCCUCAAAUAAAUUAUUGUAGCUGCCAAGAAAAAAACAAUUUAUAGUCAUAUUUCUCUUAACUACCGAUAUAGUGAACUCAUUGCAUUCUUGUUAGUUAGACAUUGCAUUUUAUAGACAUAAAUGCUCCAUUGACAUGUUUGGAAAAUGAUAUAUAUUUGUUGUUAGUAAAUUAAUCCAAUAAAAGUUAUAAUUUUGUGUUGUUAUGCAUUAGAGAAUGCAUAUACUAGCACUUAGCUUGAGAUGCCUGCUUAUUUUAAAGCUAAAAUGUAACAUACUAAUAUUGUAUGGAGGCAAAGUUUAUAUCAAAGUAUAGAGCCCGAAGAGAUAUACAACUUCUUAGUUGAUGAAAUUUUCAUUUGAAAUUAUUUGAGGUCCAUAAAAUAUGUUUUAAAUUAUUAGAAUUUUGAACUUUAAAUUUUUUGAAUCUUUCAAAUGACCUCAGAUAGAGAUACAACCUAAACCAAAGUUAUAGUACUCGAUGAGAUACAAAACUUUAUAAUUCAAACUUUUUUCAUUUGAAGUCAUUUAGGUUCUCAAAUAUUUAUUACAAGAUCCACUAAAGUGAAAACAAAAAGAAAGAAACAUUCACUUGGUCACAAAAGACUAUGUGGUGUAGUGGUAAGUUAGUUUCACCUGGAAUCUCAAGUCAUGAGUUUGAAUCUCAGCUACAACAAAUAUGAAAUUGUUUCUCUUUUUUUUCCAUGCAUAUCCUUGAGGGUUAUCGGCACUCAAGAAAAUAUCUAUCCUUGGUUGUUUUUACAUUUUAUUGGGUGCCAUCAGCAUUCAAGGAAACUUAUAUCCUUGGGUGUUCUUACAUUUUCUUGAGUGUUAUUGGCACUCAAGGAAACCUAUAUCCUUGGUUGCCGUUACAUUUUCUUGAUGAUGCUAAAAAUUUGACCACUGAUUUAUUUUUUUGACGGUUUAACCCUCAAGGAAUUGAUUUGUGGCGGCCGGCACUCAAGAAAAUAGUAUUUCCUUGUCUCUCUACCCUUGGCGGCCAUUCCUUAAGUGCUAGCUGCCAAUAUUGAUUUUCUUAGCGGUUUUAGAGGUUUUCUUGAGGGUUUUUGACCCCUAUUCAGUUUUGUGUUAGUGGUUGGCAUCGCAUCCAUCAAGAAAAGUCACUUGGACUAACUUGUAUGGUAGUCUCGCUAUCAAUCUAUCGUCAAUACUAGUAUCUAUCUAAGAGAAGUACACACACGGCCGGCCAAAUGGCCUUAUAUCUCAAUAUUCUCAUGUUCAAAAUUUGAGAGUCCAUCACCACUAGUGGAAAUUCACUCUAAAUGGAAGUUAUAGAAAACUAAUCCAAUUAGAAGUAUCAAUAUGGGUAACACCUUUUCCCCGCCACGGCGUAGUGAGCGACUGGCGGCAAAGAGCAAUAGCCGUGCAUCCAACCCAACGGUGCAAGCACAAAACGUGUGACGAUGUUGAAGUGAGGGUUCGAUCAAUCAGCGACCUGGCCAGGACGCUGCCGGAGACGAUGAUGCCUUCGAUCGAGGAGUAUCAGUCGUUGUUUGGAGCUAGCCCCCUGUCGGCGUCUAAACGCGAAGCCAUUAGGAACCUAUUCGCCGCUGGUACUGGGCUGGACAACAUGGUGCUCGUCGAUGGGGUGGAAGAGGAGCUUUAGUAGACAACCCUACAUUCGCUCUUGUCUGCGCUAUAUAGUUUGUUUGCUAUGUUCUUUUUGUUUUUGCGCUUGUCCUUCGUUUUUUCCCCCUGUGGUUUUGCUCCGGCUCUGGGCAACCUUUGGUUACCUAUGAGCAGGACCAUUUGUUGUUUGACUGUGAUUGUCUACUCUCUCUUUAAUGAAAUAUGUGCCCUCACGAAAAAAAAUGGGUAUGGUGAUGCACCUCUAAAAUGGAUUUGGAAUCCUGAACAUUUCGUGGUUGUUUGGUUGGAGUCGGGGGCGACCUGCGGGAGUAGUUGAUUAAACUAAUUCCAGCGAGUAUAUUUCAUUUUGUGAUCAGCUACCUCGACGCUAGCCGGUCUGCAGAGGACUGAGGACCUCAUGUCUAUACACAUGACUCUACACGAGUACGUGCCCUGACCAGAGAGACCAGUCACAAGUUGCCAUGGAUUUCAGUACAGUUGGGCAGGGGUUGGGUCACGACGUGACACGACCUGACUGUCCGGUGUCCAGUAGCCAUCCAUCCAUGCAUCUGCCUGGAAGAGAUGAGGAGAUAUAAAGGACACAGAUCUUUGUUCCUUGGCGACACUCGUUCUGGCUCUCCACGCUCCGGCUCACCGAUGCCUUAUUCUCCCUGCCCUGCUGCUUUUCCAUGGCCCCACAGGGAACCUGGCACCGGCUGGGCGCAUGACAUUCACCGGCAGGGCCCCUAUAAGUAGCGCUGCAUCUCACGGUUCUCUUCUCAGAAUGCAAACCAGAAACAAAGCCCCAUAGCCAGCUGCAACAAUCAAGAGCGAGCGAGGCUCCCUUCUUGUCCCCAGCACUCGCUAACAAAGCCAAGCCAAGCCGAGACAGACGACAGAGAUGGCAACGAUGUCGCUGAGCUCGACGAGGGCGCAGUGGACGGCGAAGCAGAACAAGCUGUUCGAGCAGGCGCUGGCGGUGUACGACAGGGACACGCCGGACCGGUGGCACAACAUCGCGCGCGCCGUCGGGGGCGGCAAGUCGGCGGACGAGGUCAGGCGCUACUACGAGCUGCUGGUGAAGGACGUGGAGCACAUCGAGGCCGGCAAGGUGCCCUUCCCGGCCUACAGGUGCCCCGCCGGCUACGACGCCGACAGGUACCCAUUAUUCCAUUGGUUUUUCGCGUUACGACCACAUCAUUUCCAGUUAAUUUGUACACUACUACUAGAAUCGAUCGAUCUCCUGCGUAAGAGUUCUCAAUCUGCAUGUAGCUAGCUAAUCCGGACUGUGCUUUCUCUGCAGGCUGAAGCACCUGAAGAUCUAGGCGGCAAGAAUCUCAUGAGAACGACUGAACGAGUCCUACACCGCGCACCAUGCAUGUGAGUGUAGCAACGUGUGUGGCUACAAAAGGAAGGAAGCCAAGCAAGUGGGUCGGAGCAUCUGUUCAUGCACGCAUGUGAAUAACAACUACUAGCUAGCUAUAGCCUAUAGGAUGUAGAUCAAUCGAUCUCCCGCGUAUUGUACUGUGUUCACCUUGUGUAAAAUCUCAGUAUUUGUAGCAUAUAUAUUUGGGAGAAGUGAAAUAAAAUAUUCACUAGUUUGUGGUGUGGACCUUUAUUUUUCAUAUUAAAGCUAGUUCAAAUCUUAAAAGAUAUUCGCCUUGUUUUUCACUAACAAUAAAUCAGUAUAAGCCAAAAUUUAGCAAAGUAAAUAAGAUACCCUCUGACCAAGAUUGUUUAGAUAUAUUUUAAUAUAUCCGAAAAAAAUUAGAUAUCAAAUACAAAUAUGGAUAUUUAUUGCGAAUACCAAAUAUAGUUUUAAUUUAACCACUAUCUGCCCCAUAUCUCAUAUCUGACAAUUUAGUUGGAUAUAUACGACCAAUAUCAAAAAAAAAAUCUGACUAACAUUAUCUCGAACAAAUAUUAUACAUUAUACAAGUACUAACAUACAAAUAGUUGUAUUUAAUAACCUACUAUUGGUUUUUGUUUCAUCGGCCAAGCUCUUUAGAGAAAAGAAAUAUCAAGUUUACGAAUAGAUAUAGUCAUACUACAAAGAGAGAAACUAUUUGGCUAAUAUGGUUGUCUAAGUGCCACCGGAGCUUAUUUUCUCCUAUUCCUGUCGCUUCAAUCAUAUUUGUUUCACUAUUGACAAUUAUCAGAAAAGUUCGACGGUCUCUUAUAUAGCAAUUGUUUUCCAUAUUAGGAGUAUGAUAAAUUAUUUGUUAGGGAUGCUCUAAGGAAGCCCAACACACGCACACUAGAGAUGAAUACUACGACGUGCUGUAUUCCUCCAAUCCGUCUACUAGCUAGUCGGUCCACCGUCAACUUUUACAUCUAUGUUUAUCUUUUUUUGUGACAAUAUAUAUAGUGUGACAAAUUUAGACAUUAUUUGAAACAAAAACAAUAAGAUACUCAUCGCAAUAUGUACAUAUGUAAUCUUGUGUGUCAAAUGACUAAUAAUGCUACUUUCAUGUUAACGAACUUAAUGAUAGUAUAAAAAGCAAAACAACAUGAAAGGCUAUAGAAGUACACCUAUAGAAGAGAAGCAUUGCUUCCACAGUUCAAUAUAGUGGGAUGUUCGGUACAGCAAUACAACACUUGACACAGUGUAGAAAAGAUGUCGUAUAGACAUUCCACCAAAAGUGUUUUCUCGCCGUGUAUCCGAACAUCCAUCAAAUCUCUAGAAAUGGGAAUCAUGAGAAGUCACGCCGAGCUCUCUCCAAAACCUAAUCACACACUUACCUAUGCAGCUGUCAUAGUGGACGACUGGAGGCCCGUUCUUCCAAACACUUGUGCACAUGGGAGCUUGGAAUGGGAACACAGAAAGUGUAACAACAAUAGAGAGUAUUACUUAGCUUCAUGGAAGUGAUGGAGCUUAUGUCCUCUUUGGUAGAGAUUCUAGGAGCUCCAGCUCCUACUACAACAUUUAAUACAGCGUGACUGUUCACUAAGAUUGAUUUCCUCUCUCUUCCUUCUCCCUCUCACAGAGCUGAUAGGAGCAAGUGAAGCUAAAAUUUUUGGCUCCAAUAGCUCUUGCGUGUUAGUGAGAGAGAAGAAGAGGAGAGAGAAAAAUGGAUUUCGUCUACAGUAAUUCUACAAUAGUAGUGUCAGUAGGAGCCAAAUCCAUGAAAAUCCAUACCGAAUGAGCCCUUCGUCUCGCAACAAAAACCAAAAGGUGUAAGGUUGGUAGUAGGGCGAGUUCGGGGCGGAUAUCCGAAGAUUUCAGGUCUACUGGUUUUGGUUUCGAGAAGAAUUUUGCACCUACGAUUUUUUGGGUUUAGAUAUCCAAGUAGAAUUAGGUUUGGGCAAAUCUGAGUUUCUCUCUCCCGAAUCACUGUCAGAUCUUCCAAAUCAUUAAGCCCACUAGCAGCCCAUCUAAUAACCUCAGAAAUUCAACCCUCAUACCCUCUCGCUCACCCCACCCAAUUAGCCAACACCCACCCCAUUCACUACACAACUCCGUGUCUGCCUGUCAGCCGCCAGCAGCAACAGAGCGUAUGGGCUCGUGCCACCCACUAGACCCGCUCUCUCAUUGGCGCACUCAACAAAGUUCGACAUAGCUUACCAAAUUUGCACUAUAGUUCUACCAAAGAGGAGCAACUGAGCAAGGGGUUGAGACCAGUGCACUUAGUAGAGUCAUGUGCCAGGGUUGUGGCUUCGUGCGUGCCCAGCAACAAUAGGCGCCAGUUGCCAAGGGCUAAGCCAGGCUGGUGGCAUGUCGCCUCGAGGCCUGAGCCGCAACACAGUUCGGCAAGACCAAGACCAAAUGAAACGAGCAGGGUUGGGUGGUUGGCCGCCGACGCCACCCCACCGAGCGGGCAAGAGCUUCCUACCUACUCUCUCUGUCCCUAAAUGUAUUUUACAUUUUUUGAAUAACUUUGACUGAAUAUAUUUAAAAAUAUUAAUAUAUAUGAUAUAUAAUUAGUAUUAUUGGAAAGAUUUUAACUUUAAUAUUUUGAUAAAUUUAUUAUUUAGAAAUAUAAAUAUUGUAUAUAUUUUUAUAUAAAUCGAGUUAAAUUUAUAACAUGUACAUCGACGAUGAUUAUUUAGGCCUUGUUUAGUUUGAGAAAAAUUUUGGAUUUAUCUACUGUAGCACUUUCGUUUGUUUGUGGUAAAUAUUAUCCAAUCAUAGACUAACUAGGAUCAAAAGAUUCGUCUCGCGAUUUACAGGUAAACUACGUAAUUAGUUUUUGUUUUCGUCUAUAUUUAAUGCUUAAUGCAUGUGCCGCAAAAUUCGAUGUGACGGGAAAUCUUGAAAAAUUUUGGGAACUAAACAAGGCCUUAGUGACACAGGGAGUACGGAUGAAUCACACGCCAUAGGCCUUAGCAUAGUCCUACGUUCCCACCAGGCCCGCGACGUCCACUGCCAACCAGAGGCCCAACCGCUCUUCACACACACACAGCGUCCAUCCCACGCGACCUGCUUUUGGCCCGCGGGCUGGCGCAGCCGCGCGGGGCGUCGAUCUCACGCGACUCCGCCCCAAAACCCUCUCCCAAAACCUCCCAAAUCCCCGCCUCCCCUCUCCACUCCCUCCCUCGCUCCCUCCUCCCGCCUCUCCGCUCCCAAAUUCGUCGAACGCCACCCCACCCUACCCCACCCCACCUGCCGACCGCAAUGGCGACCUUCGGUACCGCCGGCGCCAGCGCCGCCAACCAGAACCCCAACAAAUCCGUCGAGGUGCGUGCGCGCGCUCCUGCGGCCGCCUUGCCGGGUUAAAAAAAAAAACAAAAUACCCAGGGGUUCGAUUUGACCGGGUGGUGGCUUCCGUUGUCUGUUACAGGUGACUCCGGCGCCCGGGGACUCGGUGUCCAGCCUCAGCUUCAGCCCCAAGGCGAACCACCUCGUUUCAACCUCAUGGGACAACCAGGUGAGGUCGCCGCUGCUGUCAGAAGCCUGUAUAUGCGGAAAUAUACUUAUUUUUAGUUAUUAUAAAUGCGGUUGGCCUCUUUGGUGUUGGGACUUGGGCGCAGGUUCUGUGCUGGGAGGUCAUGGCUGGUGGGGCAUGCCAAGCGAAGGCCUCCAUUUCGCACGAUCAACCGGUAUUGUGAUUGUCCUGGCACCUUUUUCCCCAGAAGUGAUUCGUCUUAGCAUUUGCUUAUAUUAGCUGAUUAUGAAUCUAGAGGUCUUAGUUCUGGGCCCUCUGUAUGUGACCUACAGGCUGGUUUUGUUUCGUGCAGGUGCUGUGCUCGGCUUGGAAGGAUGAUGGGAUGACUGUUUUCUCAGGAGGCUGUGAUAAGCAGGUUAAAAUGUGGCCUCUGCUCUCAGGUGGCCAGCCCACGGUUUUCUCAGGGCAUGAGGCACCUAUUAAAGAGCUCGCUUGGGUGCCACAGAUGAAUCUUCUUGUCAGUGGGAGCUGGGACAAGACUUUGAGGUGUGGGAUUUUGACAAAAAAAAAAAACACUAGAUUCAUCCACAUUUUCUUUCUUGAAAUUUGGUAUUCCUCUAGCUUGUGCAUUAACAUCUAGUCCUGUCCAAUGUUUUAUUGCUGGUGAAUGGUGAUAUAUUGCAUAAUAAUAGAGGAGUGGUAAUGCAAUUUCUUCAUAGAUAAUUUGCAGAGAACCUUAGCAUUCGGCUUAUCACCAAGAGCCACAUAGUGUCGUAGGACUUGUAGUUGUAGGUCGGUAGUUUGUUUUUCCUAAUUGCUUACAUAAUUACAAAUGCAAAGAACCUUCUUGUCAGUCUGUCAUUAUCAUAAUGUUGGUCCUCAUUUUUUGUCAACCAUUUUUUUUUUUCAUUUGCUAAGGUACUGGGACAUUAGGCAACCCCAACCAGUGCAUGUUCAGCAACUUCCUGACCGCUGCUAUGCUCUAUCGCUUUCUUAUCCUCUCAUGGUGGUUGGCACUGCUGAUCGCAACGUAGUAGUCUUCAAUCUGCAGAAUCCACAGGUAAUAUUGCUCUCUUCUCCUGUGUGUCCCUUUAGAUGUUUUGCCUUUAUAAACUAGUCAAAUAUGUGACCAGGCCUUCUUUCAUGAAUACUGAUUUAUUAUCUGUUAGGGUUACUGAUGUAUGAGAGCAUAAUUAUAACUCAGGAUUCGUUCUUGAGAAUUUUGACUUUAAACUAUCUGAAAUUCUGAAUAUAUCACGUUACAGUGAGACCAAUUCAUUAGUAUAGUUUUACCUUGGUCAGAAGAUAACAAUUAUAACCAAAGUUUUAAAUAGCGGGUUAAGCCUUUUAGUGGCUGGCUUUCUCAAAAGCUAAGAAAGCGGGCUAAGCCAUUUAGCGGCUGAGCAAAGCAAUAUAGAGCAUUAAGUAAUUUUACACGUUUCUAAAAAAAAGGUAAUUUUACACAUAAUAAACAUAGAAGACAAAUACAUUACAAAUACCAAUUACCAUCUAACUAGUGAUAGAUAGUAAUGUUACUAACCUUGGGAUAUGAGAGCAUAACUAUUCCAGAGGUAGAGCUCUAAUUAUAUAGAGGCUAGAGAGCCUAUAUUUAGAAUACUGGAGUUCCAGGAGACUAGCUCCAGGAGACUGGGCCAUAAAGGCCUAAUAUAGAAGUCUUCAUAUCUUUAACACCCCCCUUCAAACUCAAGGUGGAAGCGGAGGAUUGGAAGCAUUGAGUUUGAGUAAGUGAAGCCGAUGCUGCUCUCGAGUUUGUGGUUUAGUGAAGAAGUCAGCCAAUUGCAACUCUGAUGGCACAUACUUGAGAGCUAUAGUUUUCUGAUUACAGUGAGACCGAGUAAAGAAAGCAUCUACACCGAUAUGCUUUGUAAGUUCAUGCUUCACAUGAUCAUGAGCAAUCUGUAUGGCUCCAGUGCUAUCACACAGAAGGGGUGUGGCGACAUCACAAGAAAUCCCAAAAUCAGCCAACAACCAUCGAAGCCAUAUAAUUUCUGCAGUAGUAGUGGCAAGAGCUCGAAGCUCGGCUUCUGCACUAGAACGAGACACAGCAGCCUGUUUCUUGGACUUCCAAGCAAUAGGGGAAGAACCCAGAAGAAUACAAUACCCUGUUAUGGACUGACGAUCUGUCGGGUCACUCGCCCAGGUGGAGUCUGAGUAAGCAUGAAGCUGAAGCGGACUAUUAUGCGCAUAGAAUAAACUUUGAGAUGAUGUCCCCCGUAAGUAGCGUAGAACACGAAGUAAAUGUCCAAAAUGAACAGAAGUUGGGGCACAAACAAACUGGCUCAAAACAUGAACUGCAUGUGCAAUAUCGGGCCUGGUGACAGUGAGGUAAACAAGGCUGCCAACAAUAUGUCGAUAUCGAGAGGGAUCCUUAAGAGGUACUCCAUUAGUGGGACGAAGCUGCAAGUGAAGAUCCAUGGGUGUGGCAGCAGUUCGAUUAUCAGUGAUGCCUGAACGAGCGAUGAGGCUGUGUAUGUACUUAGACUGAGAAAUAUAGUAUCCCUCACUAGAUUGCUUGACCUCAAUGCCUAAGAAAUAACUGAGAGGACCCAAAUCAGACAUCUGAAAUUCAGCACUGAGUUGUUGCUUCACAUGAGAAAUGUGAUCCUUAUCAUCACCCGUAAUCAGCAUAUCAUCAACAUAUAGGAGAAGCAAGGUACGACCACGCGGUGACAAAUGUACAAAUAAGGCCGGAUCAUGAUCACUAGGUGAAAAGCCAGCAGCCCGUAUCAUAGACACAAAACGCUCAUGCCAAGCACGAGGAGCCUGUUUAAGGCCGUAUAGAGCACGACGAAGACGACAGACAUAUCCGGGAGGAGCAACAACACCGGAGGGUGGUUGCAUAUAUACUUCUUCAGUCAAAUCACCAUUAAGAAAAGCAUUCUUAACAUCCAGUUGAGAGAUGGACCAAGAGGAAGAAGCAGCCACUGCAAGUAAAGUGCGAACCGUUGUCAUAUGAGCAACAGGUGCAAAUGUCUCAUCAUAAUCUAUACCUUGGGUCUGCUGAAAACCUCUAGCAACAAGACGAGCUUUAUAUCUCUCUAUAGAGCCAUCUGACUUGGUCUUAACCUUGUAUACCCAUUUAGAUGUGAUAGGCACAGCAUGAGACGGUAAUGGAACAAGAUCCCAUGUUCCUUGACGAUCAAGGGCAGCAAGCUCCUCAGACAUAGCCAACUGCCAUUCUGGAAUACCACAUGCUUCUUGAUAAGUGGAUGGCUCAACAACAGUAGCAUUCACCUGAGGAAAACCAUACUUUUCUUCAGGAUGGAUAGUGCUGCGAUCACGAAGAUUAUAUCGCGGACCAACCUGUAACUCAUUAGAAAUAAUAGGUGACUCAUCAUUAGUAUUAUUCGAAUCAUCAACAGGGAGGUCAUCAGGACCGGCCAAAGUGGGAGAAGUAGGUGGAAGAGUAUUUGGGUCUUUUGGACGACGGCAGAAGACUUGUGUGAUAGGUGGUUUGGAAAAAGAAUGAGAUGGUGGAGGCGGCGGAGUAGGAAUGGGUGUAACAGUAGGAGAAGGCGUGGGGAUGUUAUCAUCUAUAGAAAUAGGAGGAAGACCCAAAAAGGAUGUGGACUCUGUAGGUGAAUAUGAUGGUUGAGUAGAGGGGUUGUAAAAGAAAGGACGAUCCUCAACAAAGGUCACAUCACGAGAUAUACGUAUGCGACGAGAAGAUGGAUCAUAACACCGAUAACCUUUAUGCUCAAGACUAUACCCCAAAAAAACACACUCAACAGACUGUGCAGUCAACUUAGUACGCUCACGAGGUGCAAGUAAAACAUAGCAUGUGCACCCAAAAACUCGAAGAUGAUCAUAGCAGGGAGGUGUACCAAAAAGUACCUCACCAGGACAUUUGCCACACAGUUUGGAAGAUGGUUGUCUAUUGAUGAGAUAGACUGCAGUAGAAACAGCUUCACCCCAAAAAUGAGAAGGAACAAAGGAUGAAAUCAAUAGUGUGCGAGCUGUCUCUAGAAGAUGACGGUGUUUACGUUCAGCAACACCGUUCUGAGCAUGAGCGCCAGGACAAGAAAGCUGAGGAAGAGUACCUUCAAAAGACAAAAACUGGCGAAAAGCAUCAGAUAAAUACUCACCACCAGAGUCUGAACGAAAAACUUUUAUAGGAGUAGAAAAUUGCGUGUGAACCAUGCGAACAAAAGAUUGGUAAAUGGAACACAACUGGGAACGAUGUUUCAUAAAGUAGACCCACGUAUAACGAGAAUGAUCAUCAAUAAAAAUAACAUAAUAUUUAUGACCACCUUUUGAAGUGCAGGACCCCAUACAUCAGAAUGAAUAAGAUCAAAAGGUCUAGCAGAAGAAGAAGCACUAGAUAAAUAUGGAAGUUGUAUUUGUUUUCCAAGUUUACAUCCCUUACAGUGAAAGCUAGACUCAAUAGAUGUAGGACCUAAACACCCUUGAUUUAUUAAUGAAGACAAAUGUGAUCCACAGAGAUGACCAAGACGAUGAUGCCAUUUAGCGAAGGAAGAUGCAGAUGACAAUGUAGCAGAUGACACAGAAGCUGGAGACCCAACAGAGGAAGGAAGGCACAAGGUGUCCAAAACGUAGAGGCUAGAAGCACCUUUACGGCGAUGGCCAGUCCCAAUCACUUGUCCGCUGCGACGGUCCUGAAUAAAACAAGAUGAGUCAUCAAAACCAACAAAACAAUUUUGGUCGGUAACCUGACCAACCGAAAGGAGAUUCAUAGACAACUGUGGCACAUAAGAAACAUUGGGUACAGCAAAAUGAGUAUUGCAAAGUGACCCUUUGUGAGUGAUAGGACAAGAUGUACCAUCAGCUGUCUGAACACAAGCACCAUCUGUGACAGGUUUGCAAGAAACCAAGCUAGAAGAAUCAGAUGUCACAUGAAAAGAUGCACCUGAAUCAAGCACCCAAGACGACGAAGGAGCUGUAGUAGAUGAUGUAGCAGCAACAGAAACUGAUCCAACAGAUCCUGAACCUCCUGAACCUCGAGGAGUGGAAGAGGUACCACGACCACGAGCAGCACGGCGGGCACGAAAUUCAGCCAAUUUCUCUGGAUACUUAGCAAAACAAGCAUCUGAACUAUGAGUGUUCUUGCCACAAUGCUGACAGGGUUCUCUGGUGGUACUGGUCUUCCUACGAGAAGUGACCAAGACACUGUGAGGCUGAGACACAGAAGAGGACAGGGACUGUAGACGUGUCUCUUCAGCAAGUAAUUCUGACAAUGCUUGUGCCAUAGUCAGAGUAGAAGAAGUAUGAAGCAGCCUUGUACGGAUAGAAUCGAACUCUGCCCUAAGUCCCAUGACAAAUCUGUAAGUGAGAAACUGCUCAAUAAAAGAAAGUGUUGUACAAGUCUGACCAGCUGUACAUUGAGGUACCAUGGAGAUCAAAGAACCCAUCAACCGAUCAAAGGCAGAAUAAUAGUCAUCAAUAGACAUGUCCCUCUGUUCAAUGACAUGAAGUUGCUGCAUAAGAGUGUGCUGAAGAGCACCACUGUCCUGAACAUAGCGUCCCUUCAAAUAAGACUACAUGGGUUUAGCCUGUCUAAACUUACGCAGACUCAUGAUCAUGGUGGGUUUAACGCUGUUAACCAUAGCAGCCAUGACUUUACCAUCACUGAUUUCCCAGCUUUUGACUGCAGCAGCAUUACUACCAUCAGACUUGAGAGUUGGUGGAUCAUCAGUUAAGUGAGAAUAAAGACCAACACCUCUCAAUGCAGUUUCAACACAAAAGGACCAUUCCAAAUAAUUCGGACCAUCAAGAGUAAUAUUGAUGACAAUUGCAUUAAUCUUCUCAGACUGAGACAUUGUUGAUGUUAAAAAGAAGAGUUACCACCAGCACAGAGGAUUGAUGAAGAUUUGCAGUCCCGGAGCACCACAAGUAUCCUCUGUUUCCUGACAGAGGAGAAUGACCAGCAGCAGAAGCAGGCAGACCCGAGCAGGAGCAGGAACAGAGGACCGGCGGCUGGGAGUUGUCGAUCCGCUGGACUCCCGCGGAGGAAGAAGUGGCGCGUGAUGUUCCGCGCGUGAAGACCCGUAGGCGCGCGUGUAGACCGAUCGACGCGUGACGAACCGCCCGCGGGUGAAGUAGCGGACGGGAACGGCGCGGCGCGCGGUCGGUCGACAGGCCACCCGCGGAUGCGGAACGAGGACGAUCCACUGGAAUCCCGACGCGCGGAUCACAGGCGGACGGCGGACGGAGAAGGGCGCGGUGAUGGGCCGCACGGAGGGACGGCGCGGCGACGGGCCACGCGAAGAUGAAGUGGCGACGGGCCACGGGAUGAAUGGGCGGCAACGGCCGCAACGAAGAACAGCGGACGAAUCCCAAGUAAAAAAAAAAUGGAUCGUGGGUGAUUUAGAGGAGGCUAAACCUAACCCUAAUCCAUGGCUCUGGUACCAUGUUACUAACCUUGGGAUAUGAGAGCAUAACUAUUCCAGAGGUAGAGCUCUAAUUAUAUAGAGGCUAGAGAGCCUAUAUUUAGAAUACUGGAGUUCCAGGAGACUAGCUCCAGGAGACUGGGCCAUAAAGGCCUAAUAUAGAAGUCUUCAUAUCUUUAACAAGUAAGUCUUACUAACACAUCAGAGCUUCAUAGUUCGUACAUGUCCAGACAUUACACUUUACAAGUAUUAAAAAAAGUAAAGAAUAGAGAAUGAACGGAACUUGGAAGCCACGCAUGCAGCUGGAAAAGAAAGAAGCUAGCAACCAGCCAACCACCGUCGUUCAUGGUCAUCUGCCCGCUAGCACCUUUCUUCGCGACAUUUGGAGAGGAAUGGAUAGGGUUACCCGCCACUGGCUCUAUACAGCGUUGUGAUGGACUGAAUCCUUGCGAUUUUGGGCCAUGGGAGUUCGCACGAGCUGAUUUGACCCAAUAGCGGUGCUAAAUAGAGGUCAGUUUAGUGGAUUUAACGCACUAUUAGCGGCUGAAAGAUUCUAGCGCUAGAAACGUGAAAGCCUAGCGCCAGCCCUGCUCAGACGCUAAAUCCUGCUAAAGCGUACGCUAAAUCCCGCUAUUUUGAACAUAGAUUAUAACUCUUGGCCUUGCAUUCAGUGCUUCAAUCCAUUUUAUUUUUCAGUCAAUUCAAUUGUACUCCCUCCAUUCCAAGUUAUAAGUCAUUUUGUAUUUUUAGGUAUAAGCUUUUGCUGUGCAACUAGAUAUAUAUUAUGUCCAGAUACAUAGCAAAAACUAUGUACCUAGAAAAGCCAAAACGAAUUAUAAUUUGGAACAGAGGGAGUAUAUGAAACUGUCGAAGAAAUUAGUCUGCCACUUGUUUGCUGAAAAUUUUGUUAGUGCAAAACAGGAAAGUAAUAUAUUCAAUCUUAGUUAGUUUUUUUAAUCACUAAUGUGUUAUGUUUUUUUUUAAAGCAUGAGGAUACAUUUUCUGUUGGCAAAGAUAAGCAAGUAAUAAACUGAUGUUGCCUUGUUUCAUGUGACUGAAGUAUGCAGGUUUAUCCAAUAAAAUAUUUUACUUAUGUACAUCUCGAUCGUAUUUGCACUUUUGACAUUCUCUAACCUAGGCUGAAUUCAAGAGGAUUACAUCACCUUUGAAGCUCCAGACAAGGUGUCUUGCUGCAUUUCCUGAUCAACAAGGUUUUUUGGUAAUUCCCUACAUUUGCAUUUCUGCGUACAUCUCUGCAAUAUGGUUUGACAAAAUGAGAGCACAAAAAUUACUAUAAUCUUAAGGAGGUAAAUAUUGAACGGUGUAUUGUGGUUGUUCCGUAAAACAAGAUACAAGUUACCAUUGUAGGCAUCACAACUAGUUUUUAAUGGUGACUCCUGUGUUGAUUUUUCAUCAUGCAAUCCCAGAGUGCAAGGUCACUAUUGCCAUGCCAUUGUUUUCUUUUAAAAAGUGUUGCAAAGAGAUAUUUAUGUCCAUCCUUUAGAAUUGUUUAACACAAGGGCCAUUAGAGCUUCUGUUGGUCGCCUCUUGAAACAUAUUCUCGGGCGCGCUUAUAUCCUAAGGAUCAGAGUUAGGGGGGGGGGGGGGGGGUGAGUGUGUGUUUGUGCUGGGGGUGUGUUGUUUGGGUACUUCCCUAUUUUUUCACUUAAUAGAAUUAUGCACAGCUCUCCUGCGUUUUUCGAGAAAAAAAGGACCAUUAGAAAUUCAUUUAUUUUCUCAUCAGUAUGGUCUUUCAAAUCCUUGUUGAAACAGUUUCUCCCAAUGUGUCCGCCAUGAAUAUAGCUUAUUAACUCUGUGAUCUAUACAUUAUCCUUGUUCUUGUUUGUCUGUGCCUGUUGACUGUUAUCGUCCUUUCUUUACUGUUUUAGUCUGGUAUUGGAGUGAUUGGAUCCGUGAUUUGUGGCAGAAGGAAAAUGGUCAAAUAUUUUGCACAUCUGAUUGACCCUUAAACUUGUUUUGAUUUGAAGAUUGGGUCGAUAGAAGGACGAGUUGGUGUUCAUCACGUGGAUGACUCUCAGCAAGGAAAAAACUUCACAUUCAAGUGUCACCGUGAUGGCAAUGAUAUAUACUCUGUUAACUCAUUGAACUUCCAUCCUGUAAGACCUCUUCCUUCUACAAUAUGUUAUUCAAAUGUCUUGUUUUAAUCUGUUUAUCAUAUUGAAUAAAGUUUUGUGGGUAGAAACUUCACAAUUCCUUGGAUGUUCAUGUAAACUAUAACUACUGAAUACUUGCUAACCAACUGAAGAUCAGUUAACAACUACUUCAUUGUCCAUUCAAAGCAAUUCUAAUUGUCAUGGUAUGCAUUCUACCCACAGGUGCAUGGUACAUUCGCUACUACAGGCUCUGAUGGAGGUUUCAACUUUUGGGACAAGGACAGUAAGCAAAGGCUGAAGGUCGUGUUUCCCUUAAUAUUCUUCAAAAAUACAUUUGACACAUUUUAUAUUGAUCUGAGUACUUUUAUUGUCAUGUUUUUAACAUAUAUAUUUUUUAAUGUAAACUCAUUUUAUGAAAUUGAAUAGGUAAAUAAUAAUAUAGGGUGACAAUCACACAAUGUGGCUGUUGUUCUUUUUGAGUUACUCCAUCUAGUCAAUUAACUUUUAUCUUAGAAUGCAUGCUGUUAAACAUUUUGUCUUUGACUAUCUCACCAACAUACUUUAUGCAUUUCUGGGAAGUGUUACAUUGGAAACCCAAAAUGAUGCUCCCUCCAUUCCAAUUUAUAGGUUGUUUUGGCCUUUUCUAGAUACACAACUUUUAUUAUAUAUCUUGACAUAGUAUUAGGUGCAUAGCAAAAACUAUGUACCUAGAAAAGCCAAAAUGACCUAUGAUCUGGGACAGAGGGUGGUGUAUAUUUGCGAAGUAAAAUCAGUUUCCUGAAGCAAUAUCCAUUUUUGGAAUGUUGGCAUUUGUUGAAAAGUCAGAUUUACCUUAUCAGAAAACAUUUGAAGUUUUCCAGACUGAAGUUCUUUGUUCAUGACAGUCAGCUGUAAAACUGCUCAUGCCUGUCAAGGGUACUUUAUUUUGUAACGAGUAGCAAAAAACCCACUAACACUCCAUGAAAUUCCUAUUCUACUAUGCUGUGUCUUCCUUUGUGCUUAUUAUUAUGUUUAUAUUUCAUUGCCUGGUGUUAAAUAUUACUGGCAAAUAAUGCACACCAUUAAAAGAUUGUUUUUAGUACUGUGUAUCUGUAUCAUAGUGAUUGGUCAUUUAGAGGGAAAACGUGUGCCGAUAAUUGAUAUUGCCAAACAAUUCAGAACCUUAUUAAGGAAAUUUCUAUGCAUUUGUUUAAAGAUGUACCUCUGAUGUGCCAUUUUCUUUUACAGGCUUUUAAUAAGUGUCCAGCACCCAUCACAUGCAGUACAUUCAAUCAUGAUGGCUCUAUAUUUGCUUAUGCGGUAGGUCAUUUGUUGUUGUCAGCAUCUGUAUACUGAGUGAAAAUAACUUAUCAGAUACGCCUAGUUGCUUUUGGUGUUUUUGUUGUAUAGGUAGAAUUAUAAUCAGGAGUUGUCAACAAAAAAAAAUACAUGGCUUGAAUUUUAUUAGUCUGAAAAUUUAAUGAUUUUUCAUGCUUUAGUUUAUUUCCUCUUGCUGAGACAGGUGGACUAGAAAUCCAAAUUUGCUGAUCUCUCAUUUGUUUAGGUAUGCUAUGAUUGGAGCAAGGGUGCUGAGAAGCAUAAUCCUUCUGCUGCAAAGACAAAUAUCUUUCUACAUAGUGUACAGGUUUGUUUUUUUUUACUAAAUGCCUUGUAUAAUUUUAUACGCUUAUUUUCAUCUGAUUUUGUUUAGAUAGUGCUAUUGGAUGAUUAGAAGUUUUCGUUGGUUAAUCUCUUGUGGAUUUAGGUGUUUAUAGUUAGAUGUAAGAAAGGAUAUCUGUAGAAUGUGUAAAUUUAAAAUAUUACAUAUCCAGGCAGCCUUUAUUCUUGGAUGACGUUUGCUAUCCUUUUGUCUAACAGUUUCUCCUUAUAUUGUCAUUGUCUUCGUUCAUAGGAAUCUGAUGUGAAAGGAAAGCCUCGUGGAAAGAAGUAGACAUAGCAAUGAUAAGUUGGUGACUGGUGAUCGUAGACAGAUAGCAAAUCAGCUCGCUGCUGCUGGUUACUUGCAUGAGUGGUUCUUCUGAUAGUUAGGGUAUUUCUUGAUACACUAGAUCAAAAGCAUGUCCUUUAUCACAACAACUACAUUUGCGUCGUUUGGCUGUAAGUAAUUUCGGUGGCAGUGCACUAACGGCGGGUUAUUUCUAAAAUGGUUCUUUUAGUAGGUUUGUGAAAGUUAUACGUAACAAUGUUGUUCCUGUCUGGUCCAAAUCUUUUUGGUCCUUUGGUAAACCACCUGAGCUAAACUGGGCAUCUUCUGCACUAGGACCUGUUUGCUUCUAAGUUCUAACCCUCGUGCCUGGGCCAGGCAGCUCUCGGCUGGAUCAACCUUCCUGGGUGAGCGCUACCACGCCACGCUGUGAACCAUAACCUGGGCUGGGGGCAUUGCUGCUCUUUGGAGCCGAGUCGCCUGAUUGUUGAUCUACCCGUCGCUUUUGAAGCUUUGGUUAGUCAAUUUCUCGUCGUGCUCUCUUGUUGCUUGACUAUCCGUCGAAACCUCCUUUGAUUGUGGUGCAAGGUCAUGUCCCUCCAUGUAUAAUGUAUUGGUGAUUUGGCGUCUCCUUGCGCUUCGAGGCCCUCAUCGAGGUUGCGUCGUUGUACUGUUGCUGCUUGCAACAAUCAUUUGUCUUUCCUCUUAAUAAAAUAUAAAAUAUAUGCUCGGGCAUGUUCUCGAAAAAUGUUUCUGGGUUAUAUGAACAAAUUCCAGUCGUGCUGAGAUGGGUAGUACAGUGAGCUAAUGAUCUCUAUUGUUUUAGACAAGACUCCUUUUAUCUGAGACAUUUGACUUUUUAACCUCAAGUUUGAUCAUUUGUCUUAUUCAAAAACUUUAUGCAAACAUACUCAAAUUUAAGUUACUCUUGUUGAACUUUUAUUAAUAAACCAAGUCACGACAAAAAAAUAUUUUACAGAAUUUUUUGAAUAAGAUGAGUGAGCAAACUUGGUGUUAAAAAUAUAUUAUAAUUUGGAAUGGAUUGAGUAUUAGCUAUUGAUCAAAGUAAAAUUGGUUUUGCUAGCGUGCGGACGUCCGGACGGACGCACGUGUUCGGACGCUAGGUCUGCACUACAUCUUUCCACGUGCGUCUGCAUCCCGCACCCGCCCACAUGGGCCCGCGCCGCUACAUCUUUCCCCGUGCGUUUGCAUCCCGCGCCCGCCCACAUGGGCUCGCACUGCUUAGACCCAACCUUACUGCCCCGACUGCACCCCGGAGAGUCCUCGCUUCCACCACCUCCGUUGCUCACGCGCAUGCACACGACUAGCAGCUACGACGGGUAGCUGCGGCAGGUGGCUAAGCCAGCAUCCAGAGGAGGGGGAGAGGUGGCAGAUGCCCAGUCAGUGCCAAAAGGAUAGAAAGAGACAGAAGGUGAGGAAGGAAAAAAGCGAAGACACAAUGCAACACCCGAUCUACUUUUGAAACAUUCGGAUACAACAUUUGCAACAUACAUCUGAACGCAGAUAAAACAUAUGAAACAUGCAUCAAACACAGUAUCUGCAACACUAGAUAUAUUUUUGAAACAUCUAGAUGAAACAUUUGCAAUACAGCUAAAACACUCAAAACAUACUUAUGAAACACUUCAAAAAACACCAUGCAGUAUACAGCUCAAAACGUUUGCAACAUGUUUGGAAAACAAAUGAAACAAUUUGGACAAAUGUUUGCAACAUAUGACAUGUGCAACAUCCCACGAUCUAUUUUUGCAACAUCCAUAUGAAAAUUAUUACAACAUGCCUCUGAAACGUCUGAAACAAUUGAAGCGUACGUUUGCAACAUAGGGGGGAGACGCCUAGGCUGGUCGAUUCCGACCUAUGGGGUGGGAGCCAGCAGCGAGCGCACACGCCAGCGCCACCACCACCACCACUAACGGCACUGCCUUGGUUCGGCGACGAUGGGGUGAGGGAUGGGAGCGGGCAGCACCAUGGCCACCGGGGUGGGGGAGCUCGGGCACCUCCAUGGAUCUCGCUCGUGCUCCAUAGAUCUCGCCGGGGUGAGGGAGAAUGACACCAGAUCCGCGGUCCUGGUGGGUGAGGACGUCGGGAUCGAGGAAGGGCGUCGCUGGGUAGAGGGGAGAAUCAGCCGCGCGGGGUGGGGGAGGAGGCCACUGGGCUCGAGGAGGUGGACACCAGGGUGGAGGAGGGACGCCACCGCUAGCCAGGGAGGCAGCCACGGCCGCAUCGGGGUGGGAUGAGACGCGAGAGCGGAAGAGAUAUGAAUGGGGAGAAGAAAGGGAGGACGAUUAGUGCGUGCGGCAGUGAGCGGUGGGAGGCCAUCCGAAUACCGAUUAAACUAUUUUGUUUGGGGCCACUCAUGGGGAGUCG
rnacentral:lncRNA from 1 species